rnacentral:lncRNA from 1 species
AGCGGCCGGGCUCGGGCAGCGCGUCUGUCCUCACCGAUAGGAGCGCCGAGUUCGCAGCCCGUGGACGUGCCGGCGUGGGCGCACGGUAACCGGGAGAUUGUAUUCGUUAACAGUUGAAUCUUGCUUUACCCUUCCAGUCAGCGGAUGCUUCUGAAUCUUUAGGUAUGGAUUAUGUGAGAUUUCCUUUUUUUUUUUUUUUGCUUUGCCUCCUCUUCCAAAAAAAGCGUUCGCUGUGUAGGUGAGGCUGGAAGGCUUUUUCCCACGUGAGCCUUUCAAAGUCACUGCCGUCUCCGCUAAGUGCAUUUAAGGCUGCCGCGGUUGUCAGCCGUGCAAAGGACAGCAGCGGGGCAGCGUGGGACAAGCCAGCGUGCUGCCAUCGCUUUUGUUGACGGAGCAAUCCAGCGUUGAAGGUUUGCAGCAUACGGCACUGCUCCGGCUCCGCAUCCCGCUGCAGUGGUGUCAGCAUCGCUGCCGUGCCGGGAGCAGAAGGAGCAGCGCCUGCCCCGAGGCACCCGUGCAGGGGACCUUUAAUUGUGCACCCAAACGCGAUGGCGGCGCAGAUCGGCUCUUUGCAGGCAGAUUUUUAGAUUCUCAAGUGACCGAUUGCCUCAUAUGUGAGAUCUGUUUACAAACCUUCUUGUUACUAUGAAGACAAAACAGAGAGCCAUAUGCAUUCAUGUGGUCCUCGCUGAAUAAUGGUACAUGUGUCUGCCUGAGCCCUUGGCAGCGCAUCGUGUUUGGUUUGUGUGGUGGCACCCCACAAGGCCAUUCUUUGGGCUUUUAACUGUUUGUGAGACAGCUGGCCAUCGGUUACGGGGACAAACUUUGUGACAGAGCUGGAAGUUUUCUAAGCCUGAAAUGUCAACAUUUAUUCGGGUUGCUGUUUUUCUGAACUAGGUUUGCACAAAAAUGGAAGUAAUGAGUACCAUUUUACGUGGCCUUCUUCUCAUGGCUUUCAAGCCAUCAGCAGGGGAAUUACAAUUACUGGUAGGUAAGGGGAGUAGGGAGCUGUAAAUCCGCUGCGCACAACACACUUAGCUAAUCCUGCAAUGUGUCCCAUCCAGCAGGGCAAUGCUUGCUGUUUGCACGUUGCUGUAGGUGGGAAGGUCGGUUAUGUGGCUUGUCAGGUGUUAUGAAAUACUAGCAAGAUAUCUUUACAUUUCAACGCGGUGUGGUUUUUGUAGCGUGCUGUGGUUGGCUAUGCUGAUAAUGCUGCAUCCAGCUCUGCAGGUGGGUUCAGCAAGCAGCACCUCCACAUCAUUCCCACUUGAUUCCGUGUGUCACGGUUCCAGGUACUACCAUUGGAGUGGAGCUCUGGCUUUCUCCAGCUGUCUUUGCUCCUUCUUUAAGCUGGGUCCAGCGAGGGCUGGUUCCUUGUAUUGCGACGAGGGGACAGUGCUUUACUUGCCUCGCCUUGGUCAAUGGAGAAGAGACGUUUGAACCCAAGAGCAGCUGCUUAUAAACCAUCGGUCCUCCCAGCAGGAGGUGUGAUGGGUUCCAGUCUUCAGGGAGCAUUAAUUGCUGAUCCUCUUGGGAGCCCAACAGAUGUGCUGUAUGCGCAAGCUGCGUACCUUUGCUAUUUGAAAAGUCUGAUAAGUUACGGGGAAACUGCUUUAAAAAUUAUUUUAUUUAAAGAGACAGCUUGUUUUUUUCUUGACAGAUUUUGUAAGCAGUGUCUCUGAAGCAGUGUGCAAUGGAUUAAAACAGCUAUUUUUGAAAUUACUUGGUUUUCUACUGUAAUGUAACUCCCCUUUUGUCAGUAGGAGGAACUGUCUGGCAGUUCCUGAAGAAGCAAAGAAACUGUGAGGGGAGAUGCAAGCUAGAUAGAAAAUGGAGAACAGUGUUUUUCAGUGGUACGCUUCAAUCGGUAACUUUGGAUGCUGCUUUUAAUUAAAGUAGCACGGAAUUAUCACAUAAGAACGUCAGUUUCAAGCUGUCUGUGCCGUUUUAUUAGGAAAUAGCAGCUUUGUACGGUUUUGUUUCUCUUUGUAGGAAGACUUUGCAAGAGCAGUUCUAUUUCGGCAGGAAAUAUUAAAAAGCAAUUCAUCAGGGCUGUAUUUUUCUUCAGUGAAAUUAGUGCUUGGCUGACACCCUGAAGGCAGAAAUCCUUUGUAGGUGGAAGGGUUGGAAGUGUUUCCAUUGUAACCAACUGGCGAGCCUCUCCUUGGACUUUGAGAAGUCGUCAGUGAGUGUGAGUGUAAAGGCUGUGUGAACCUCUGGGAACAUCCAUGCUUUGGGUUCUUUGCUCAAGUGGCAAACGAGAGGCACCACAUACUUCUGGUUUUAGAAUAGUGAACUCUACUUAGAAGUGAAACAAUUGACAUUGACUAACCACUCAUUAGCAGUGGGACGCCCCCAGUAAGAUUUAUCCCCACAAUCUUUCUCACUAAGCUGUGGAUGUGGAAGAGAGACGAGAGGGCUUCAGCUGCAGCAACAGUCUGAAGUGCUGUUUCCAAACCCCUGAUGUGAAAUAAUCAGAGGACAUACAAGUGUCAUAUGUAACGUUGCCUGUCAAAUUAAAAGUCUCUUUGCUUGUUUCUUAUUUUCUUGUGAUUAAUUUCUCACCACCAUUAAUAUAGUCUGAAUAGGAGUUACCUCACGUUGUGAGGAAGCGUUGUGCAUUCUGGGUGCUUAUUUUCAUUUGCCUUUUGGGCACAUUUGUACACCUGCAAAACAGUACGCCAGAGUAAUAAUAGUUGAAUGUGGACCACAAGUGUUUAUGCUCACAGCAUUGCCCGUGUUUCCGUAUUUCCUCCUCCUGCCCUGGGCAUGCCUCUUUUGGUGCUUUCUUGAAGUUGAAUGUUGCCUUUGCCUUUGUCACUGAUUGCUGUGAUUGUCAGCAAAGGGGUUUCUCUUAGUAAGCCAAAACCUAUACGUGCUGGUUUUUUUUCUUCUCCUCUUUCUUUGGAUAGGAAUCUCAGGCCUUGUGCUCCAGAAAAUGUGACGGUAGUCUUGAAGUUCUACAUUACAACAAUGUGGUUGUAAUUAUCUGAUAGGAGUUCCCCCAGCAUUUGGCUGUGAUGGUAUGAUGAGUUUGUGUGGCGAUUUUUAUCCUUUUCUUCUGCUCCUAUCAGAGUAGUUGAGAUCUCAACAGGAAAACUGUAAAACUUCUAAAACUGAUGUGAAAACUGUAAAUAUUGUACAGAAGUCGUUGGUGAGGUGUUUAUGGCCACUUCACGCACACAUGGCUUUGAUUUGUUGCGCCUCAAUUUGUGUAACAGAAAAUAAUUUUACUGUGGGUUUUGGUUUUUAUUUUAUUUUUACUUGUGUUUGACGGUUCUCUUCUGAUACAUUUAUCAAGUCUGAAAAUUGCCACUCUAAUAUGAAAGAAUUUCUGCCUGCAGGAAAAAAAAAAAAACAUAUUAAGAAUAGAAGUUCACUUUGUUGCAACUUCAAUAAGCUGUAAUAAACUCCUGCAGCUCUGGCUGAAAUCUCUCAUUUAUGGAAGCUGUGAAGAGGUUAAAAAAAUAUAUAUGGUAAUUAUUAAAAGGUAUACUUUAAUGGCUCUUGGGUUAUAAAAGAGGAGCUCCGUGUUUGGUUGCUACAGAAAGUUUAAUUUUUAAAUAGUGGUUUACGGACCAGAUAGAUUAUUUGCACGUGUAGUUCAGUUCAGUAGAAAAGUAAAAACUAGAGGAGCCGAGGGGAAUUGAAAUUAGAAAGUCAGAUGGCAUUUAAAGGUAAUGCAGUAAAAUCUUUUGAUCCUCUUUGUAAGAAAACCCUCACAUAACACCAAAGCAGAAAAAAUAAACAACAACAACUGAUUAUUUUUCUGCAGUUCAUAGUGCGUGUUGGGCCUUUAUUUGGCUUCAGAGGGUUGGUGUUGCUCCUGGGCUGACCGGGCUAACCUCAUCCUCCCUGGACUCUGGUGGCGUGCCUGGAACUUCCCAGUGCUGGGUUUGGUGGUGAGCUGCUGCUGGAGCCUGGGUGUGCGUUCCUUCUCGAGUGGUUUAUGAAGAAGCAGUAAUACGGGAUGUUUUCUAAUAAGCAAUUUAAAAGGCUGAAAGAAAUAUCCAAUUACGUGUCGUAGAACAUGAUAUCAUCUCGGAGAAUGUAAUAGAGCAGAAUGUUUAAUUUUGUUGAAACAAGAUUAUUUAAUGAUCAGUUUUUCCAUAAAGCAGUGUCUGUGCUUAGGCGGAAAGCAGCUUUAUGUUAAAAAAACCAAAAGGCUAACAGGACAGAUGAGGGUUAUUAGAAUUAGUCUUGCUAGACAGUGUGUAUUGUUCUUUUCUGUUAAAUUCAAGAAAUGGCCCAUUCUCUGUAUUGAUAUAUUUUCAAUUUGUGGUUUGCACUAAAACAAAACACGUGUAGUGUAUCAAGAAAUAAUAGUAUGAAAUAAUAAGUGGAGCUACCCAUCCUUGACAACAAGACAUGACACUAUUUAGUUUAGAGCAAAAAGUAUUUAGUUUAUAGCAAAAACUAUUUAGUUUAGACCAAAGUCAGUAUUCAACAGACUGAGCUGCUGGCAUCUAUUAACAGUGUUCGUCAUUGUGUGCAUGGCAUUUGAGUGCUGCCUGUUCAGAAGGGUCCUCAAAGUAUGUGGAGUUUCAUGUCCCUUGCCUUUCCGAAACAGGUAAAAUAGUUCAGUUACCUGAAAAAUGUAUCACUGUGUGCUCUAUCUACUGUCAGUUUAGGUGGUGUUUGGAAGUGAUUUUAUAUCAUUCUGUGCACGCAUCAGCAAUGGUAAAGAAGCACUCUAGAGAUGAGUGUAAGCCCGUCUGUAGCUGACAUCCGUGCAUGCUGACAGUGCCUAACUGCAUCCCCUGUGACAACUCUGAACACAGAUCUAUCAUGAGAUUUGAGUUUCUAACACCGUUUACAUUAUAGAAAAGAGGGUCCAGUGUUCAGUCUUCCGUAACAACAGAGAGAGACAAAUUUUGACUUUUUCCCUUUUUACAUCAGCUAUGUUUAGGAAGACAGUUUUUGUAGCUGGAAAUAGUUUUCUAGUGAGAGAGUUACUCAUAUUUGACCAGAUGUUCGUAGGCUCCUACAAUUAAAUCCCAAUGCUCUUUUAGUCAAUAAAAGUUUCUACACCAGUAAAGAUACGAUUCAACUAUGAACCUUCAGACCACAAUGUCAGACUUCUUGAUGCUGUGUGAUAUGAUAGUCUGUUUUGAUUACCAGGACAGGUCACGAUAGAGUAAAGCUGCUCAGAGUAAAGCAGCUGUUUUGACAUUUCUGCAAAGCUAUGCAAAUACAAUUGCUUUCAAAAUUCUUAGUAAAAUUGUAUCAAACAGAACUUGUAGCCCAUUCUAUUAUUUUGUGCAUGAUCUUACAGUAGCAGCAAGAUUCUUUCAGAAGGUAGAGAACAUUUUGACUGCUCUGUUUAGCUAGAAUUUUUGUUUCCUUAAAGCUCAAAUAAUGGGCAAGCUACGUGUAUUUAAUUGUGAUGUGCAGUUGUGGUUAAGUGUAAGGAUAGGAGUCAUUUAUAAUACACUUGAGUUGGAAAUGAUGUUAUUGAAAUGGUGCUCUGUGAUAUUAGCAUGAUGUUGGUGAAAUAAAACUUCACGGGAUGGUGUUUCUUUGAGAGCUAGAGCAAUGCCAAAUAUGUUGUCUGUACCUCCCUGGUAGUUUGGUAUGGUGGCAACGAAGUUAGGAUGGAGUAGGCACUGUUAUCUGUCAAAUUUGAUACAUAUUACAUACAUAUUGUUCACAUCAUUAUUUUUAAUCUCUGAUCUACUUAAUUACUAAUUAAAAACAUAUACAAAUCUUUACUCGUCUUUGACUUAAUUUAUCAUAGUGAGCAGUGCUAAUUAUUGGUAGAAAAUUACUGCGAAUUAAUAAAACUACUGCAUAAGAUGGUGUAACUAAUAGCACAUGUCUGAGACAGCUACAGUUUUGAAAAGAAGUAAGAUUGUAAGUUAGUGCUGGUAUAUACUAGUAUGAAAGUUUCCAUAGUACCUUUCUGUGGUUUAGUUUGUUAUUGCCAGGACUUUGUCCACAAAAUGUCAGGAGACAAAGGGAUGACAAAGAACAUUAAAAUUCUCUGCUUUGUUUUUAGCUCAGCUCAUUAAUAGUUGAAAACUGUUGUCAGAUAGAAUAAUAGCAUCAUAGAAUGGCUUAGGUAGGAAGGGACCUUAAAGAUCAUCUAGUUCCAACCUCCCUGCCAUGGGCAGGGUUGCCACCCUGAUUCCAUUAAGUUGCUUAAUGGUCUCUUUGUAGGCAAAUAUUCAUUGCUCUCUGUAGUGCUCUUAUGAACAAGCUCAGCAGAGAGGUGAGAGAGUAAUAGGGAAGGAAAUGAGCCUAUAUUCCAAAAUCUCCUUCCUCCAAAAUCUCUCUUUUGGAGCAAAGUCAAUAUAUUGCUGGGUUGUACAUAUUUCAGUUUCCGUAGUCUUCCAUGAUGGAAAGUUAGUCUGGACGCAUUCACUUGUAGGAGGUAAGUGUGUAAGGAGAGGAACUUCUGCUUUAGUUUUGGUCUGUGUCCUCUAUGUGAUGCUUUACAGUGGUGCAUCUUGGUUCUUGCUUGUUCUUUCACAGUAAUGGUGAAGUAGCUUUCUGUAGGCAUGCCCUGAUUUUCCUUCCCUUGCUCUCCAGAGCAGCCUCUACAUGUCAGGCAAGAGAAAGACACGUGGGACUGUGGAGUUCCUUUACACACACCUCUCCGAAACUUCAGUGCAGCGUAUUUUCCGCAAAUGGAGUGAAACCUUAUUAUUUACUUUCUCUGUCGCACACUACUACUGCCAUAGUAAUUAAAAAAGAAAGUGAGGAGGGUACUAAAUAGACGUUUCUGGAUGUACAGUGAAUGAAAGCUUGGAGGGGAAGUUUAAUGAUAUGUUAAGGGGAGGUUUGAAUAUGACUGGCAGUUGAUUAUAAUUGUCUUCAAGAAGAUACUUUUGUCAGAUCAGGUCUCCCUCUAACAUUAAGUCCUCAACCUAAAUAAUAUUAGUAUUUCAGCUUUAAAGUCCCUGUCAAAUUGUAAACCAUACAUGCUUGUUUUGAUGAGUAAUGAAGAUUCAUUACAAAUCACCAUCAUGGCUUUGGUGGUAGCAUCCUCUGAUUUGCAUUGAUUCCUCCACAAAAGAAUCACCCUCAGAAUACAAUGUGGAACACCGUCUUAUCUUGCUUAAUGCUUGCAGAUAAUUUUCUUUACAUUUGCUUAUGCACUGUUUUGAUUUAUUUCAGUUGCAGUAUCAUUUGAUCCUGCUCAGUAGUUCAGCCCACUUAACUAGCAAGCAAGGGAAUAAAUUAAACCAAUUUUGGACAGACUCUUUCUCUGCCAAGUGGGCUGUCUGGCAAACCAAGAGUAUAAUAAAUAGGGUUUGUGGCUAUUUACAGACUUAUAUAUUAGAAAACAGCUAUGCUUCCCAGUUUCAUUACAUAACUUGAGUGGUGGGUUAUACUCGUGUUUCUCUUAGCCAAAGAAAUGCAGUUCUGUACUGUACCCUACCUGCCUUGUAUGCUUGCUUGAUCAGUGAAACCUCAUCACUUGGUUCUGGAACUGCUUGUGAAGAUGAUUUGAGAAAUCUGUAUUUCAUCUCAGUUCGUGCGUGCUGCCAUUUUUUUUUUUUAAUGUGGUCUCAUACCUUCUUGUUUGAAAUGGCGUUAUUGCUGAGGCCUUUUGUUUGUCUUUUUUCUUGUUGUUUUUUCUUUCUUUUUCCUGCUUGUAUUGUUCAGCAUAAAAAAAAAAAAAAGACAUAAGAAAACCGUGUUUAUAAUAGGAUUGUGGAAUAACCGAUCCGUCCUAUGUAUUUCAUCUUCCAUGUGAAACUCAGUAGCACAGCAAUGCCGAGCUGCAUUUGCUUAACACCAAUCUUUGGGUUUUUCUUUGCACUUUCACACUUUUAAAUGCAAUUUUAAAAGAGCCCUGUACCUGUUGGGUUGAUUAAAGGGGAGGUGAACUUUUUUUUUUUAUGUGCUACAAUGAAAAUGAAAAAUAAAUAGGAAAAAGCCUAUAUCAACCAAAGCUUAUGACAUGAUGUUAAAACGUAUAACCUUGGGCAAAAGGGGCCAGUUAUUGGAGUAGUUCUUGAGUAACCUAAUUGUUUGAUAAGGAUCCUAGCCUGUUUAAGUUGUUGUUGGUUGUUGGAAGCAUUCCAUUUCUAAAUUUGUGCCUUACUGCAUACCCUGAGGUAUGUGUACAACCCACUGUAAUUGCAGAGUUUACUAUUUUAUUAAUUAGAGCUAUGAUAAUACGUUGGCUCAUGAAUUCCCUCUAAUCCAGGUAUGGUCUCCUAAUUGCCCAGGGUUCUGUAAUUCCAUUGUUUGUUAUGUGGAGGUGAUGGAGAGUGAAAGCAUGGUCUGAGGAACUCAACCCAUGCCCUGAAGCCUGCAGUUGGUGUGCUGUUGCAACCAAUGGUGGAAAGGUAGGGUAUCUUUUUAACAUGCCUGAUGAAUAAUAAUAGAAUAUGUAGCAGUAAAUUUACUGUGUAAUCCCGAGUACCUGAGACUUUGCCAGCUGGAAGGAAAGGGAUGCAUACUUUAAUUGGCCUCCCUAACCAUAACAGUGCACCCCUUACUACUUCUUUGAUCUGGGUCUCUCCUGACUGCCUCUUUGCCUGAGUGACUGGCAAACUUAUAUGUGAUUUGCUGUAAGGCACACAACUGUGAACAAGCACCUGGUGUGUAGUAGCAGCUCCUGUUUUUAAUCAGCCUUUGGAGUAGUAGGCAUAUGAGGAUGUCUGGUCCUGUGUUCUGUAAACUGGGUCUGGGUCAAGAUAGUAGACUUCAUAGUAAAAGAGCAGGAGGAAGCAUCAGCAGAGGGACAGUCUGUGGGGGAGAUAGGUAAAUUCAGUAUUCAAUGUCUGUAGCUCUGGAGAGGAAUCAUACUUCCCUGUGAAAGGGAUGUAGCAAAACCCCAUAACCUCAGGUAACUGACACUUGUUCUCAGCGCCAGCGUCUGCCUUGCUGAGGCAUCAUCAGGCUCCAGCCCUAGGCUCCCACAGUGCGAGCUGCCCUCCCAUAAUGUGGUGGGAGGGCUGGUAAGGUCCCACACAGCACCUCGUGGGCUGCCUCCUUCUUGCAAUGGCUAGUAUGGCUUUUCACAGCCCCUAAAACUUCUCAGUACAGCUUUUGGCUCCUCUACAAGGGCUUUUCAUAGCUGUAGCUCCUGUGGCUUGCUGCAGCAUGGGGUUUUUUUUUGUUUGUUUUGUUUUUGUUUUUGGAACAGAUGGUGUCUUACGUAGAAAGUUACUGUAUUUUUGUAUGACUGGGUUUUAUUUAUUUAUUUCCUUGUCUCUCCCUUUUAUUUUUUGAAGUAGGCUUAAUUUUGACAACAGUGCUGGAUUUAUCUUUGAUAUAUUAAUGUUUGUGUUUGUGUACGCGUGCAGUAUUUUGCAGCGCAGUGGUUGUGUUUUCAAGUGUUAAUGGGCACAUUUUUGUCAAAAGUGCAAUUAGUUUGAAAUUUGAAGGGAAAACAGCCCGUGAAGGAAGAUCUUUGAGAAGAAAAGUAAAUGUCGUCUCAAAUGAGCACUGUACUCACUGGAGUAAGGUUUUGUUUUUAAGUCAGUAGAUGGGUUUUCUGUAUCUAAUCUUUGUGUUGUGUUUUUUAAUUGAUAUCAUCUGGUCAAUUUGAGGGAAAAUGCUAUUCCCAUAAGGAAAAUAUUUAUUCUAAAUAUUAUUGUUGCCUAGGAUCUUGUUGAAUUCAUGAGAUACAGCAGCAGUCGAGUUGAUUUAAUAUUUUUAACAUUUUUAUAGUGUUUUCUCAUUGUUUCCAUGAAAGCAAUUUCAAUAAAUAUUUUUGCAAUUGCUUUUGGUUUCUUGAAAUUAGGUUACCUAUUGUUGAAAACUGCAGGUUCUCAAGCAUGGGUUUCAGAUCUGGUUUGUCAUGAUUAGACGUUUGAAAUAAAAUAUAAAUACUUGAGCAAGCCUCAAAAUGAUCACUUGUCUUUUCCCUGCUUAGCUUCCAAAAUGCCGUUUGUUCUGUCUAGUGAGUCUCCUUAAUUUGAUCCUUAUUUGUAAAGAUAGCUACAUUCACAGGGGUUUGGUUCCAUUCAGCCAAAUCACUUCCUUUUAUUCAUUUGUGUGUAUGUGUGUAUAUGUACGUGUGUGUGUGUGUGUGUGUGUACAUGGAAAACACAUAUACACACCAUCUGCCUGUAGACAGUAAUGCAUACCUUAAGUGAACAGGAUCAUCCCAUUUGAAAGACAAGGUUUAUGUUUUCAUCCUAAACCCAAGCCUUAUCUCACAGCAGCAUUUUUUUUUCUUUGCAAUGCAUUUUUUUUUUUCCAGUAACUUGUGAACAUGUGGCCUUCCAUAUAGAAGUGUUCUGAGGUAUAUGGGAAGAGAGACCGGGGGACAUUUGAGUGCUUCCUCAUGGCCCUGACUUUACACAUGGUUGGAUCGUGUCCUUUCACAGGGGCAGUCAUUCGUGGCCCCACAUCUAGACUGAGUUCCAAACAUGGUGAUAAAAAGCUCCACGCUUCUGUGUUCUCUAUCACAUGUGUUUUAAGGUAAAGGAUUCCCUGCUGAUGUUGGGCAGUUUGGAUCUUGUCAUCUUCAUUUGCCUUGUUUUCCUCAUAAAAGCAGCACAAGUUAUUUGAAUGAUCUGUUUAUAGGACUGCUUGAGAGAAUUCCCUUAAUAAUGAGACAGUUCAACAAAAAAUCUCAAGAUAAUGGCUUUUCCAUUUGCACCUCUCAGACAUUGUUUCAAGUGGAAGCAAAAGGAUUAUUAAAACCCUUGUAAGUAGUUUAAAUUCCCUAGUGAUACACCACAGUGGUUUUGUUCUAAGUAUUACACAGAUGGGUUGUAAAGGGUAAAAAUAUAAUUGAAUUUGUGUGGAUAUGUAAAGAUGUUAAAUAUUUUGUAGGUAGCCAACUUGAAGAGUUGUUUUCCAUAUAUAUUUGUAUUUACCACGACCGAUUUCUGUUGUGGAGUGAAAAAGCACACAUUUUCAUCAGUGUAAAAGGGCACCAACAGUGACACCAGUUCAGUUUGCAUGCGUCCGUUUGCUUUACGUUUUGAAGUUUUAAAUAAAAAACCACAAUAGAUACAGCUCUUCUAAGAAUAUUUUGUAUCAUCUAGAUGAGGUGGAACUUUCUCAUGUCAAACCAUGGUAAAGAUGGCAUAUACCCUUCCUCAACUAAUGGAGCAGGAAGAUGUGAUUAGCUGAAGACUAGCUUUUGGCGUGUGGAUGAGCGUAUAAAAAUGCUGCUGUUGCUUUCUGUAUUCCUUUGUUUAACAGACAAUAUAUGGCAUAUAUAGGUGUUCACAUAUGUAUAAUAAUGCCACACUGACAAACUUCAGGAUUAAGUCUCUGGUUAACGUCAGAACAAGCAGCAGUAGGAGUUUCCUUACGCUAUCUGGGCAAUGAAUCUUCAAGAUUCCACAGUCAAGCUGUCUCUGAACAACUUGACUCUGAAACAGGAUAGAAAAUAAAGCAGUUCGUAUCCAUGUAAAAGGGCAUGUUUUUAAAAGCAUUUCCAAAAUGUUUAGUUGAAAAGUUCGAUUGUAAAAAUGUUAUCUUUGACCUUAUUUUAGUAAAAUGAGCAGCUAGUAAUCCAGUGGUGUUGUAUGUGUCCAGCAACAGAUGUGAUUUAAUGUAACUCUGAGAUACAGGCUGGUGGUUCCCUAGUUUCAACUUCAGUACUCUGUUUUAUUGAGGCUGAAAGGCUAGCUUCAGUUGCUGGUGUGGCCAUAGGGUUGUUACUGCACGAACAGCAAAAAACCUCUUCAGCUAGGGAUGGUAGUAUGAGGUGAGGAUCGGGAUGAGUGUUUUCUGAACUCCAUAUGAUGUUUUCCAUUGAGGUACAUUGAAUUAUGUGCCGCUGUUUGAAAAUUAGCUUCUGUCAACUGGAGCACUGCUGCCCAGUCGGUCUCAGCAUGCAGAGGGAAGGUCUGAUGUCCCAGCACCCAGAGGAUGCUGUUGGGACAUUCUCACUGUGAGUGAAUGGUUUUAUCACUAUAUUUUGAUGUGCUGUUGAGACACUAAGGAAAAUGGUUCUAGAGCCUGUGCUGCUGGUAGGAGAGUGCUGUGGGUGAAUCCAUUGCCCUGUUCGAAGUGAGAAACAGCUGCAGCCACACUGCUUCCCAUGGCUGCUCUGAAUGGCUGUCCAGCAGUGGACACAGAGACCUCCCAGUACUCUCAUAUGAAUCCCUAAUGAUGCUUUCCAUCAAAAAGGCUUUGCAGUGUUUUUUUUUAAGAGGGUGAUAGCGGUGGGUAGGGCUGAAAGCUGGUCUCUCCCUCUACCUACCUGAUAAGGUUGCUAAUGAUUUAGUUAGGGUCAGAGGAGGAGUUACCGAAUGCUCAGUGGCCAUGUGCUAUGGCACAGCUUCUGUGCCUCCACAGUCUUCCAUAUACUGUGCUCUUAUUUGCUUCAGAAAAGCAGGAGGGAAAUUAAAUAGAAGCAUCUGCAUUCACUUUGCUGGGUUGUCAGCCAUCUCCAACAAGGGGAUCCUGUAGUUUCACACUCCAGUUUUUCCCUAAAUGCAUACAGAAAACAUGUUUUACUCCGUGGGAUCCAGAAGUGUGUAAGGCUUCAUUUCCUGAUGCUAGCAGAAGUAUGGGCUGCAGUGAGAGCCGAGUGCAUCCCCACACUGCAGUAAUAUUCCUUACACAAGCUGAACAAGAAAAACCAGAGCAGCACGGCUCCUGAGCAAAUAUUGUUUCUAGUCACAUAGGAUGCUUUGCAGCUGAGCCUGGUAACACGCUGCUCAUCUGUUUUGCUGUGCAAGCGCAGAGAAGCCGCUGCUGGUUCCUCCAAAAUCUCCCUCCUUGCCGCACGUUGGAAACGUCUGAACUUUGGCCCUCAAUCUGCUGACACCCUGAGGGAGUGUGAGUGUAAUGACGUCUUUGCUUGUUUCAGCUGCACAACAGGAAACACUCAUGGCCUCCCCGUCUUCCUGCACUGAGCAGCGCUGCCUUUUCUCCCUCCCUUCCCCUGUGGUGCGGCAGGCUCAGACCCACUUCCAGGUUGCACAGCUGUGUGCCGUGCCCGCCCUGUGCUGGGGCUGCCAGCUGCUCGCUGUCACUUCUGCGCUGGUGCCAGGUGUGGGGCAGCUUAUGUAGUGAUUUUCCCCUGGAGAAGAGAAUCCAGUUGUGUUGCAAUGGCUCGCUGCACAGAGCUUGUCACUGGAUGUGCCUCGGCUGGAAGGAGCAGGAUGGUCAGGCGAUGAGUUGCUGUGGGGAGGCAACUUGCAUAAUAUAGAGGACACGCUCCCAGGUGGGCACGCAGGGAUCCUGGAAUGUGGCCCCGAUAUUGCUGAGUAAUGCUGAGCGUGAACGGCUGAAGAGACUGCUGUGCCCUGGUGGAGCAGGGAGGCUCUCUUCUUGCAGAGCAUCGGCAGGAAGCCUGCUUAACCCUCUUUAGCUGUGGCUUUAUGCUUGUAACCAAAACAGGGAUAUGAGUAAGAAGGGUUGUUGAGAAACACGAGCCUUUUGCAGCUGGCUGAGGGCAGAGCAUUUUGUCUCAUCAAAGGCAGCCCCAAAAAAAUUAAAGCACUGCAGAGUUCGUACAAGAGAAUUAAUUGGUUCAAUAUUCAGCUGUUAUCCUCUAAUGAAUGGGGUGCCGGGGGGUCACUUGUAAAAACGAAGUACAUAUGCACCAGUGAAUUUGCAUAUUGUGGUGUGAGACGAGAUGUUGAUUAGUCUAAAAUACAGCGUCCUGCAUUUGCAAGAUUGAAUUAACUUCGAAUGUAUCCAGUUCUGGUGCGGUUGCUUAUUUAUUUGGUUAAUGUUGCAGAGGCAUAUUAUUAGAGAGCGGCUUCAGUCUGCACUCUGUAAUAAGCAAGUUCUGAAUUUACCUCAUUAAUCUAUCGCGCUACCUAGCAAAAUAACAGUUGUUUUUAACAAGCUGGAGUUAUGUAACAUGAAUCAUGCAUGGCAAGAUGCUUGCAAGCAGGGGAAAGCAAGAUGUGCUAAGGAAUAACAGUAUUCAGCCUUCUGCAAGAUAGGAUAUGACUGGCUUUGGAAAUUAAACGCUGUGUGUUGUUAUUCUCGGCCUUACAGACAAGUUCCAGCUAUUCAUUAUGAGAAUGCGUCUUGAAACAAAGUCUUGAGAUGGGAAUGUUUAACAGACAGAAGGGUGAAUUUGCCCAGCCGUGUGCAGUCCUUGGAGGAUUUUGUAUCCUUGCCUGCCAAAUUCUGCCCCCCUCCCUGUUGUUUUUCUUCUGGAAAAGCAGCGUAGAAUAAUGUGAGAAGUCUCAUAAAUUAGACUGAUUUCAUAUGUAAAAAAAAAAUAAUAAUAACUUGAUGAGCUGUGAUAGCCCCUAUGAAUUGUUAUAUAAAUCUCCUUUCUUCUUUUAAAUAUGCCCCUAUAGGGUCAUUAGGCAUGUAUACUCUACAGUAGUCCUCUGUCUCAAGAGAUUUUACAACCAGUUUAUGGAAAAGGGGAAGCAAGUGGUUCUAUGAAUGCAUUAGAAUCAAAGCAAUUGAUUUUAAGUCAAAUCUCUCUUUCAUAAUUUUUCCUUGACAAUUUUCUCUACUGUUACUCAGUUUUGAUCUUAAAAGCUGUACCGAGAUGUUAAGCCUGGGAUAACCUUUUCCUGUGGUGACACGGAUACAAAAAUCACGUAACCAUAUUGGGAAAUAAAGCACUGAGAAUAAUAGCCUUUAGGAAGGGAAUGGCAAAGAUGGUGGUUUGGAAAAGGAAUGAUUUAAUGUUCAUGAAUGUCUUUUCAAAUCGUCCUUCUCACGUAAAGCAAAUCUUUCUAUAUUUUUUCAUACAUGGAUAAAAUUACUGUAAAGUGUAGAGAAGGACUGCUAACCGCUGUACUUUGAGAUUUUACUAAUAUUAGUAACAAAUAAGCAAAAAAAAAAAAAAGUGCUGAUAUUUAUGGUUUUCAUUUCUCUGUUACCAUACAUGCUUACAAACACAGUGGCUGAUUACGUGUCAGGGCAGAUAGCAGCAGAGAUGUUAGAAGAAGAAACAGUUACGUCUCCAAGUUGCUCCUGUAACUAGCGCCAUUGCUAGCACUCUGAACUUGGUGAACAAGGGCUGAACAAGCCUGGAUUUUCUCAACACGGAUUUUCUCUACGUAGAUUUUCUCACACAGAAGGUCACUCAGGUCACAGACAAAGAUGUUGAAAAAGCAUUAUAAGGAAGGGGGUUGUGUUACUCUCAUUAUGUCCUUGUUUUCUAAACAAAUGCAGCGCAGCACCCCUCAGACGAAACUUGCCUUUUAGGAAAACUGAAGAGAAGUUUCAGUCUUAGAAUAACUUUAAUUUAUCUUAUUGGAUUGACUUAGUUUUGUAUAGCUGUGCAUUAUUAGGAGAACAGUAGAGCCAAGUGUAGAAGUAGUGCUACAGAAGGACACCAACAUCUGGUGGGUGGAGAAGGACCCUCUCCUGAAUUUGCAUGAUUGUUAACUAAAUAUAAAGUUCAUCAAAUGAUUUCUAGUUGUUUUGACUCCAGUACUCUUUCCUUUUUACUCCAUAAUACUUUUUUGGCUAGUAGUAAUGUCCUUUCUGAAAAUCUAUGAUUUCCUCAAUGCAGGUGAAUAUUAUGUAGAGGCAUCAAAUUAAAUUAUUGGCAUUUUUUUUUUUUUCACACUAUCAAUAGUAGCAAGGUCGCCAUUCUAUGAUGUGACUAAUUAGGAAGAUUGAAGUGUCUUUUGUGGGAUCUUCCCUUGCUCUUUGGUGGGACGUGAGGGCUGCUCAAUGGCCAUGGUGUGAGGCGUGGGCAGCACAGGAGGGGCUGCCCUUGGUUUCUACUGGAAUUUCUGUUGAGAUCAGGGCAACGUGAAUGAGCAAAGUAGGGCAAACAGGUGGCUGCUGUGUGAAAGAAAAUACCAUGAGUAACACUGCUGUGUAUGAGUGUGGUGGGGUGUCGGUGUGCACACAGAGAUUGGCUUGUCGAGGAGCAGCUCUCACAUCCUGGGGUCCUUGAAAUGAUCGUCAGAGGUUAAUAGUCUUGGUCAGAAUGCUCUGCAGAAAGAUUUCUUGCCCUGGGAAUUGUUGUGCGCAGUUGUCUCAUUUUCCUUUCCUCUCUUGAAAGCCAAUGUUAUCUUGUCCAUUCAACCCCGUAAAGUAUCCCCAGGUUAUCAAGUUCUUCUCAUAUUGCAGCAAAACUUGAAAUAAUUACCAAUUCAGCUUCACUAUUUCUGUCAGCUUAAAAAAAAAAAAAAAAAGAAAAGAAAUUUAAUUUACACUAAUUACUCAGAACUUGAGAUGCUCAGCAUGAAAGUGGCUAGGUGCAAAAUAGGAUUAAAUAUGUAAAGGAGAAAAAAGCAUUGUGUGUUGCAUUUUUCCUAUUUAAUGCUCUGUUUGUAUGUCAUUACCAAGCCAUCUGCAAGCAGAAUUCUCCUAGCAGACUGAAGCAGUUCUUCAAGAAAAAAAUUAAAAAUAAGAACAGUCAGGCUGAUAAUUUAAAAACAAAGAUUUGGUGUGAACAGAUUAAGAUGGGAGAGUUGUACUGAAAUGUCAUUAUUGCAGGCUUACCUUCUCUUAACUGUGGUACUCUGUGGUCCCCGGUAUGAUCUGAGGAGCCAAGCAAUGGGCAUGCUUUCUCCAUAUUUUGUUGCUGAAACACGAACACUUUGCAUCCCCAAAACUUCUGUGCGUGUGUCUGUGUGUGUAGGGGGAAGGGGGAAGUCAUCCUCUAGGUUACACUGAAGGUUGCAUAACGUAACAUCAGAGGUACAGGGACCGAGCUCCUCAUUGCAGAUAUGAGUUUUAGUAUGGAUUUCACUGGAGAGCAUUAGUGUUGUUCCUGUAAUUGUUCUCAACUCUACCGCUUGUCCUGUGUGGAUGUGUAACAGCUGUGGCACAGUCAGAUCACAGUUCAUAAUGCUUCUGCUCUUUGGGGAAUGAGAAAUAAAAGCUUUUGUGCAGUCCCAGAUGAGAGUGGCCACAGAGGUGGGCUGAACGCACCGUCACUCCUGCUGAGGUGAGCGCAGUUCUGCACUGCUAUUGCCAUGGUACGCAUCUCUUUGGAAGCACCAGCACAACACAUAUUUGUGAUCCAGAGAGUUUGUCUCACCAUCCAGAAAUGCGUAUGUUCUCUUUCUUCACCUCAGCUGACCCUGGCUUUGAACCCUCCCAAACCUUGGAGAUGUUUAUAGCUGCGCUUUGUUUUGUGAAUGGAAUUUGUUUUUCUAAGUGCAGCAUGAAGAUUUGCUUUAUCUGCAUGGAGCAUGCUUGCUUGAGCAGUUGCUUUCCACAGUGUGGCAUUUGUAGAUUAAAAUCUUUUCUGCCUUGGUGGUGCCGAUUCAGUUCAUUCUGCAGCUAGUCCAUUUUGCUAGCAUGCUACAGUAAGGUGCCUGGCUGCUGCAGUGAGAAAGGGAAUUUUUUUUCAUUUCCUCUGAGGUGUAGAUUUGAAAUGAAACUAUUUUUUUAAGGUAAUCUGAAAACUAGAAUGACACUCCAUGCUUCAACGCGUGUUUCGUUUCACCUGUAAAACUACUUUUAAUUCUUGUGUUUGCACUUGGAACUUGAACGCUUUACACUGACACUAGAAAUGACAGCCCUGUGCAUAGAAUGUACGUUUUAUUUUAUUUUGGCAUAUUUUACUGUCCACCAGGUGUUGAUCAGAGAAUUCAGCAGUAUACAGCUGCUGUGAUGUAGUUACUGUAUGUAAUACUCUACCUAAGGAAACACGGUCUAGUGACUAGCUGGAUGGGAGGGGUUUGAUGCCCGCAGAUUCAGUUCCUGGUUCUGCUACACAGCUCAUGCGUUUGGGGUAAGGUUCACACCACCUUACACUGAUUUUCAUGUGAGUUAAAUUCAUAAAUACGAGUUGUGCACAAAAAUACCCUCGCUGCGCAAUAUUCUCUUUAUGUCGGUAACGCUUCCUCACCUGACUGAGAUGUCACGUAGGCAGAUGCUGUGUUCUGCUUUUGAUCCAUACAGAGCCAGUAGGUGCUCUGUACUAACACCAAUUGCAAGACUUGAACCUUUUGUGUUUUUUUGGUGUGCUUUUAAGUGGCCGUUCUCUGAGCGAUCAAUAAUUGCGCUACUUACCAUGAGUACACUGCUGUUAAAGACCAUACAGCAGUCAGGCUACAUGCAGCUUCAGGGCCCAGUUCUGUCUCCUUUGCUUGGGAGUGAAAACAGCUAGGCUAAAGCAGAAUCAGAGACUACGAUGCUGAGAAGGGCAACUUGUGUAGAUCUGGGUCCAAAUGUUAAAUGCCCUGUUUAGAAUAAGAAGGGGUACGUUUUUUCCUCCCAAACAAACUGGUAGAAUUCAAAGUGGAUGUUUGUAAUUUAAGAUAUUGUGUUGUGUUGAGUGUUAAACAGCAGUGUUGAAGAGUGCAGGGAAAAGAUAUUUCUGCUGUGGUAAGAACUAAUACGAGCAGUGCAGAAUGCCCUGGUAUUACCCUGGCUUUUUUUUUUUUUUCCAACUUUGUGAAAUAUGCAUUUUGAAGUAUCUAGGCAGUUCGGAGAGUAACUGAACUGAGUAAAGUCUGGCAUAAGAUAGCAAGUGGGAACCCUAGAAAAUGUUUGUGGAUCUGUAGGGCACAGCAAUGCUUCCUGCCAGAGGAAGGCCCUAAGGACUCUCAUAGGCCUUGCCUGGAAGACUGUGUGGCAUCUGUGGCACGUAUGGGUCAUCAAGACAUCACAGGCAGCCCCAGAGCCACGCCUGUUCAUAGCAGACGAUGGUAUAGUCCUGAGCAGCCAUCAAGAUGCAGGGAAUGGGAGCAGGUGACCUCCAGACGUCCCCUCCAGCCUCAGCAUUGUGACCUGUCCCUCUGUGCCCAAGGACAGUGCAGUUACCUUGGCUUCUGACCUGGUUGGGAUGUUGUAGCAGAGCUCUGAGAAUAGCAAUUUGGGAAUCAGAGCUGGCUGUGGUGAGGAGUGCUUCAAAGUUAGUCUCUGCUAAGUUCUUUCAUCAGCAAUGCAUGCACCUCACUGAUGGACCUCUCUAGGAAACGUUGCUCAUCCCUGCUUCAUAACCAGACCUCGCAGCUUUUCACAGCUCUGCCCCCAGCUGCUUUGACUGGGUGAUGCCACAGGAUUGGGGCUGUGAAAGCAGCAGGGAGGGCUGUGCUAAUUUAGAUGAUUUAAAUAAUUGUGCUCUUGAUACUGCCCACUUACUUCUGUUUUGCCAGUGACCCUUCUGGCAUAUUCAGUAGGAUGUGCUGCCCGCUGGCCGUCCUUUCUGCUCAUCUCAUCUCCUGCCCUAGCAGUUCUUAUUGCUGGAAUGCUUCCUGCAUGCUGCAGCACCCAUCCUUCCCAGACACCUCGUUGUGAGCUGCUUAGCAAAUGCAGAGAAUCCUGUGAUGGGCAGAAAACAUAGCAUAUAGACCCAGUGAAAAGGGGAGCCCACCCUGGGCCAAGUAUCUGCCAGGUGUACCUCAUGCUUUCUUCACAAAACCUUCAAGUGCAACUUUAAUUCCAGGCAGAUUCCUAAGUUGUAGUGAAAUCCCUGGGUCCUGCACAUGCUCUUUAAUAUAGGCGUACAUUGUGAAUAGAAACAGCUUAAUGAACUGGAGCCAGGGUGGGGAAUUUUGGGACUCCUGCUGUUCUGCUUACAGUGUUUUGCAGGAGAGUUUAAGGCUGAGGAAUGACACCAACUGGAUUCACAGAACAAUCUGCUCCUGUUCUCACGAACUCCAAAUUAUUUUCCUUCUCACAUGCAAAGUUGUACCAAGAGUUGCAUUUAAAAACCCAUCUGCUGUCCAUAUUAUAUCAAUAGAAAGAAGUCUAAAAUUUUUCUAAAAUAUUCCGGUUACUCACUCCAUACUGCUGUCAUCUGUCUUUCAACUACAAGCCAUUUCUUGUAGUUGCACUCAAAAUCUUCCCUCAACCAACAGAUGAAACUCGUAGUUGCUAAAAGUGCAAAACUGGGAACAGGAUGCUAGAAAAUAGCAGUGCCUGCUUUUCAAACGUGUUUCUGAUAGUAUAAAAUACAUAAAUUGAUGCAAUAAUUUUUCCUUACUGAGUGUGGGAAAUAGUAAUAAAUUACUUUAAAAGUUUUCUCGUGUUUUUUUUUUUUCAUUAUGCUAAUAAUAUUUUGAAAUCUCAACAAUGUCUAUAAAUGUCUGAAUAUAAUUUUACAUGCAAAUAUGUAGUGUGUGAGAUGUAUGAUAAGCGCCGGGCACAGGGUGUUUGUAGGAAACAAACUGGUGCCUGCAGCAGCAGUUUGUUGUGGCUGUGCUGGAAUAACAGAUUCAAGGGAUCUUAUUUGUCAGUACCUCACCUUGAGGGACCCAGCGGGAGGUGUAGGGGCUGGGUGGUUAUGAAGCGGCAGCUGUUGAGGUGGCAGCAGAUGUGCCUGACGAAGAGCCAGCUAGAGCGCUGCGAUCCACAGCCAUAGGUGAGCUGUCGAGCUGUGUGUUGCAGUGCCCAGACCUGCUUCCUUCCCACCUUUCUUUAGGGGUGAUUAGGUGCAGACUUCAGCUUUUAGUAGUGUUGCAUCUCCACGUGCCUAUUUUCUCUAGGGAUUCUGUGGUGUUUUACCAGUUAAUGGUGCUGUUUUUCCCUUGAGGAUGCUAAUGGGCCCUCUCUUGUCUGUUCAAGCACAAAUUGGGAUUGGAAGGAACUUCUGGCAACGGUGGUGCAGUUAAGCUUGCUAUGUCUGUUAAAUCUCUUUAGAGAAAUUAGUAGGGAAGAGACAGGUACAGGCAUGCCAUUACACACAAUGUGGUUGCAGAUCUCUUUUACUGAGGAAACGAGGCUACAAAAGAUAUCUUGUGAGGAAGACAGAAUGUAUUCCUUUGGGAAUACUUGCUGAAUAGGAAGCUCUGUAAAAAUGGCAAAAUGUUGGAACUGUGAGAUACAAGUGAUUUAUUAUUUUCUCCGUGAUAAUAUCUGAAGGUUUCUGUGAAGAUGUAGGCUUCCUAGACUUGCAUCUUAAGGCACGCCCUAUUUACAAUGUAAGUAUCUCACAAGAUUAGGAGCGGUAAGAAACAUUAUCAUGGGAAUCAAAGACAGGUGGUGAGAUGCCUUCCAGUGUCAGAUCUAAAAUUCAAGGCAGCCGAGAGCGGAGUCCGUUCCUCCAUCCGCAUAAGGUAGCACUCCCAGCACCAGAUGUUACAUAGAGGUCAGCCUUGUGGCGCUGUGUGAGCCAUAGGCCCUACGCUAUACCUUCAGCAAACCUUGCACCAGUGAAGCUUUUGACAUAUUUGGAGUUUAUUACAUGUAUCUUUGCGCUGUGAUUCAGGCUUAAAUUUGUUUCAUUCUGAAGUUUAAAGGCCCCUUCUGACUUAAAGCACAUGGAUUUUUUUUUAAGAUUGAUGGAAUAAUGUUAGACGCUGCUAUUUUAAAAACUGUUGUUGCCUUGCAAAAGUGAAUUUCAUGUUUCUUUGUCUAAUAAUGUAUUCAGAGCACUUGGAAGGAAGUUUUGGAGUAUGGAGAUUUCUGCCCUGGGGAGGUAGUAUCCUGUGCUUUAGUUAGGUCAUGUCAGGCCAUUGUUUUGCUUUUCAUAUCAUAAAGAUCUUGUGUCUUUAUUCGCACUCAGCUGUGGACUUGAGUUUCCUGCAGAGAGUGAAAUAAUUAAGAACUAAUGCUAUGAAAUCGUAUGUCCUCCAUUUGUAGCUGGGUUUAAUUGAAGGCAAUUUUUAUAUACAUAGUAAUAAGUGAUGUAUAUAAGUAACAAGUAAUAUUUCUAUUUGUGGUGCUCAGUAUAGCUGAAACGCAGCCGGAUUGUUUUCUAUGUGAGAAAACAAACAGAGAGAUUCAAAGGUUUGUAGAACUUGGGUCUCUAUCCGCUGCCUAAUUUCAGCCCUGCCUGCCGGCUGCUGCUCUCCGCUUUGCCUCUGCUGGUAGAUCACGCCGGGACAGGGAUGGAGUUGGGCACAAUAGAUUUACUGGUCCAGAUAUGGCAGGGGAGUUGGCUGGGUAUGCUGGAGGGUUUGUCAGCAUAAGGAGCCAGUAAAGCGGGCUUAUGCAUGGGGUGCCAACGAAGGGUGUGCAGAACACAGAGCUUACUCUUAAAACCUGCUGUGGCUACGCAGAGUCGCGCAACCUUAAAUAUGGAUCUGGUGAGGAAGGGCACUCCUGGCUUAAAUUGAGAGCUUACGUUACUCUGCAGUUGUGGCAUGUAAGGGAGCAGCAACUCUCGAGGGAUUGCUGCUAAUGGGAUGGGCAAAGCCUCUCUGCCUUGCCUGUUAAGUCUGGGUUGGUGCUAAUGCCAGGGCUGGGGCAUGAACCUGAGUGAUGUAAGUAGUAGCAUCCACAGUCACAGCCUGGGGUGAGCAUGUGCCUGCUUUGCACAUCAGCUGGAUUUCCAUCAGGAUUUCUAGCACUGACAGCAGGACACUUUUCACCAGAACCAAGUUCAUCAUCAAACAGAAGGAGGCAUGCAAAGGGCAGUCUUGUUAAGUUUCACAUGCAUGAAGCUUUUGCUUUGGAAUGUGUUGUUCCAUUUCCUCCAAGUCUCCCUCGGGGAAACACCUGAUUUGGGUUUAUCCUGACUCUCCAGUUGUUACAUGCUACCUCAAGAUUGCAGCCACAGCUUCCGCCUGCACCAUCCUCUCCCUGGCUUCCCGCUGGUGCUGGGUGCAGCACAGCGGGUUGCCAGCAGAAAGCAGCCCUGGCUGCCCAGCCAAGGGUGCAGACGGAAAGAAAUGGCACCUGCUGCACUGCACAUCGGGGACAGGCCUAGCUGGGAGGAGUUGGCAGAGAUUGUGCUGAGGCUGUCUUCAUGGAUGGGGCAACAUCAGAAAGAGGUGCAACGCACAUUUGUAAGAAUAAAUGUGCAAAAUUGGUUCUUCUGGCUCCUCUUAUUGCAGACCAUCCUUUGCUGUGCAGAGGAUGUGCCCGUUGCGAGCUCUGAGCCGCCCUCAGCAGACGCUCUGUUACACUGUAGGUGCACAUCUGUGAUCUCAUCUUGAAAAAUACGACUUUACCUUCCACUUACCCUUCUGGAGACGGCUUGUCAGAGCAACAUGGUACCGCAAACUUAUCCUGCUUAAUGUCAGCUAAUUAAAUUCACUUUUGAAUAUAGUACUAAGCCAAUUUAAUUCUGUCUCUCAGAGCCUGCAGAGACGCUUGUGACUCUCGGAGGAGUUCUGUCUCUGAUUAGUGAUCAGAUCUCUUUGUGCCACUUCAGACUGUCUCUGUCUGUCUUUGUGUCUUUCACAGUGUGUUCUUAGGGGGCUGGGUGUUUUCCCCCUACUUUCACAGCCCCAACACGUGCCGUCAUGUCUAACAGCAUACUCCUUUUAAUGACAUUUGUUCUCUGAUACGAAACUUUCAUGGCUGUUGCUGGAAGAGAUAUAGGAUUUCUUGUGAAAUGCUCUGGAUGUUAGGUCUUGAUUUAGGAGGCUGUUUUUCGGAAGCGCUGAUCUCUGCAAGGACAGGGAUGUGGGUGACCUUCUUGCGCCGUGCUGGUGUCCCAGCCUCCGGAUGAUCGCUGCAUCGCAGCCCGAGCGCGACAGCCCCCAGUAAUGGUCACUGCCUGUCAUUCUCAAUGUACCUUGUGAUCGCUAACGUUCAUGAGAAUGAGGCACGGAAUUUAAAAAAGGAAUUAGUGAAAAAAAAAGUGAAAGGUCAAAGCAAGUCAUAAUGAGAAAGAGAGCAAAGCACUUAAUUGGGUAGUGCUGAUGGAAUAUAUCAUGCCAGUGACGAUCUGGUAGAUAUUUUUUGAUUCUGCCCUCUGCAUGAUUUAUUAAAGAAGGUCCAAGAGAAAAGUACUGCUUGUCUGUAGGUUUUCAUGCAGUAUUUUUCUUACUGCUUCCUUUGUGCAGCUUUGCACAGGGCAGCAUGUCGUAUCUCAUUUUGAACCCCUCCAUGCUGUCUGGUGGAGGGUACACGUACACUUCAAUGGAGGUUUCUGGUGCAGUGCAUCUUGUGUUUGUAGCUGCAUUUUCCUGCUCUCCUUGUUCCCCCUCUUUACUGAUUGCUUAUUAGUGUUAGGACAUCACAAGUGCAGAACUGAAUUGUUGUUCUCAGCCACGUAACUCUUGGUUACUGAGAAACUGCUGCUCCUCUUCAUUCCAGGAUGUAACCAAGGAGUGUUUGGAAACACUGCUCGAGAAGCAGCUUGCAUUGCUGCUUCACUACACUUGUUCUGCGCAGAGAAGAGACCUUCAGUGAAUGUGGAUAUCAGCCUGGUACAUUUUACAGGCAACGGAAUCAUCCAUGUUUUCUGUUGCCCAGUAAAGUACAGACAUGCUGUGGUGUCUGUAGUGUAGCUUUGGAUGUCACAAGAGAACUAAGAUAGGAGUUUUCUCACCUUUAUUGACAUAAUGCUUAACUUCUGACACAGGCAGAUGCCGGGAAAGUAAGACUUGGGACUGUAAUUCCUUUCUCAAUUCCUUCCAUUUUUUUGUGAGGAAAGGAGAAGAAAGAUUUAUUUCUUCAAGCAAGAUAAUGUGUUAACAGAUCAUAAGUUACUUUUUAAUUUUCAUUUUAAAAUAUGUUUUUCUGAAAGGCUAUUCAUAGGUAUGUACUUCUUUUGUAAUUAGAAGCUAUAGUUUUUUUUUCAAGAAUUUAUAAUAAAUUACAUAUAUCUGGAGAAUUCGUGAGGCUUACUACUUAGAUCUGAUUGUAGUAAACAAUUUGGUGCCUGUACCUAGCCAAUCUAACCAUGUUGGUUUAGGUAUUUUGUCCAUUUUAUGAGUUCUCAUUCAUUUUUCAAGUCAGCAAACAGUAUUUAUUGGAAGUGGAGAAAGUAUUGCUGAAACCUUGCUAAGUCCAAAAGCACAGCAAUGCCUUAUAGGCAUAUUCUAAACACCCAUGUCUGUAAGUUAUCUUCAUCUUUGUUGGUGUGAAUAUGCAGCGUGUGUUAAUGUGAACAUUUACGGUGCAAAAGAUUACAUAUUUUCUUCUUCAGUGUCAUACUUUAUUAUAAGAAAAUAAUACUUCGGGGUGAAAGAGUAACCAAUCUGUAGUUCAUUAUGUGUGAGUAUAGUUUUAGGAUUGCUUUCUGACCAGUAGACUCAGUUUUGAGAAGCAAUUGCAUGCUAAUGUGAGAGUGAGCUGACAGCAAACAAUAUAUUUCAGCUUCCAUUAAUUUUUUCUAACUGUGCCUAAUGUUUGCAUUUCAUUAAAAGUAGGAACAUACUGCGCAUGAAAAUGAAGGUCUUAAUUGAUGGCACUGGGGAUUACUGUCUAGCCUAGUAAAUAUACAGUUUGGACAAGAACUAUGUGUACUUUCUUACAAUUCUCUCUUUAUGUAGAAACUGUAUUGAUUUGUGUCUUUAGUCCCCAAUCCAUCCCCUACCAAGAUUUUAAGGGCUGGCUCUCCAGUGUAUUGCUGUCUGCACCAGCUAUUUCCAUCAUAGUCAGAGCCAUGUACUUAAAUAUCUCUUAUAUAAUUUACAUUUUCAGAUUUCACAAAGGCUUCUAGGCUUCUAAUUCACCCAGAAAGGCUUUGCCUUUGCUUUAAAGAGGUUCUUGUAGGACUUGCAAGUUCUGUCAAAGUGUAUUUUCAGAACUUUGGUAUUCUAGUCUUAGCAAAGGAAAGACGUUGGAAAGUCUCUACUCAAAAGAAUCUUUGUGAAAGGUCUUGAAAGUUGUCACAUUCAUAAGUAGUUCGGCCUCCUCUUAACAGCUGCUCCCCAGUGCCUUCUGCUCUAGAAGAAGUGCUUUUCAUUUUGAAGAGUUCUGGCAUUCUCCCGUGUGGUCCCCAAGAUCCCUCCAUCUCAACUGUGAGCAAAAAGGUGAUACGUGUUGAAUGUGCCUUGUGGACUUCAGAAUCUAGACCGUGGCCUUACCCUUGCUGAAUAAGAGGGUUAAGAACCUGUGAAGGAAUCUCAGCAAAAGGGUCCAGAGACAAUUAAACAGAGGACUCCAAACUUAGUCCAUGCAGGACCUCAGACAGUAUGGCUUUUGAAUGCUACCAAUCUGUAGCAGGCAAAACCUUAGUUUUGAACUAAUUCAUUAGACAUGCAUUUCAUUUGGUUCCUUGUGUUAUGAUUUAUUUGUGUUCAAGGUGUAGCUACUUUGUGAUCAUUCUUUUCUAUUCACGUGGUGAUUUAGGGCUUUUGUUUCCAAACACUCAUUUUCCAAGAUUACAGUUAGCAGACAACAACAACAAAAUGUUUAAAUAAAUUAUUCACCUGGAAAAUUCCGGUAGUUUUUUAAAACGUAAAUGAGGUGAUGUAAGUUACGUGAUUAAGUGCAAUCAUUAGGGAAAGACUGAUUAAAUUACUCCAAAUAAAUCUCCAAAAGAAUGAGUUGUGUGAUGCUGUAUUUUGCUGUAUUUUCCUGUUGAAGACAGCUAGCCAUUUUCAGCAGCAUCCUUUUAUGGUAAAGGUGCUACAGAUAAUUUCUUUGGGAGGGAAGGCUUUUUUUUUUUUUUUUUUUUUCUUCCCCCCAAGCCUUUAAUGAACGUGAAAUGGAAUUGGGAAGUAAAAUUUAAGCAGGUCAAUGGAAGGAUUCUAACACUGAAAAACGUCUAUUUUAAGGAAUCUCCUUUAUAAUGAUCUGAAUGUGAAGAGUUGGUGGUUAUCUACUCCUUAAAAGUUUUAAGUGUACUUUUAAAGCUGUCCACCAAAUCCAGAUAAUGCUUUCUAUUUCUUUUAUACUCAUGUCUUUCUGGUAGCGCAGAUAUGUACUCGAAUUCUAGCACUAAUAUUCAUAGCAGUUCAUGCUAAUAACAGAGAGUCCUCUGUGUCUGCUUUCUAGCAGAAUUCCCCAGGCAGACUUGUUCUGAAGCCCAUAUUGGUUAGGGCAGAAGUGCUGUGAGUUGUGCUGGGUGUUAGGCUGUAUUGGAAGAGCUCACAGGCAGUCGGUGCUGUUCAAACCACGUUCCCGUCUGUCCGUGCCAGGAUGUAUAUUCUUCACCUGCUGUCCUUCAGCCAGUGACUGCACUUGUUUUCAGCAGCCCCCAGCUGAAUUCACAUAGGUCUGUAAGCUACAGAAAGCCUGGAGUGGGGCCUUGUGGAGCACCUAUGAGUACACCUAAAUAUACUUUCUCUUCUUGUGGCUGCUUCUGUUUGCCAACUUAUGUUUGCCUGCUCAGAAGCAGUGUAAAUAGGAGAUAUGACGUAUUACCAUUGUGCCAUUGGAAGUAUACCCUUUGCAAGUAUAUAUAUUUUUUUCUUGUUUUCGACCAUGGAGUUCGCUCUUCUGACCUUAAGUUUGUUAUUAAAUACCAAAUGCAGAGUGUAGGAGACACUGACUUGCUUAGUUGGCAGAAAACGCAGAAGUAUUUGGUGCUGGAGUGCUGUGUGAUGUUGUGGCUGGCCAAUGAAGCGUAAUAAAUGCAAGAGCCAAGCCACUUUGGAGGUAUGAAGAGUCAGAGAAGCAUUAGAGUAAUUUAAAAAAUGUAAACUGUGGGUAAAAUCUAACAACAUCAUUUCUCUAAAGUUCUUUGUUAUUUACCAGACUUCCCUCCUGAAAACCUCCUACCCUAGAAUGAGAUGCAGUUUGCAGAGCAGGAGGAAGAUUGGUUUCUGUCUGGGGACACUCGGUUUAAAAAGACAGAACUCCGACUUUAUCUCUGAUGCGACUCGAGACCACUGUGGUUGUGUCUGUAUGAGUGUGCUCUGGGUGUAUUUUUGGGUAUCCUGUAAGUCAUUUUAUUCACACUUUCAAAAUGAGGGGACCCCAGUUAAUCUGCCUUAUAUAUCAAAGCUGGUUUUAUAGCUUUACAUAUAUUGCACUGUAGGGCUAGUCAAUAAAAUUUAAAAAUGAAUUUCUUAAUUCUUGCCCUCAUUUCACUCAAGGAGAUACAUGGUCCAAGCAAUUUUUCAUUUAUUUAGUGCUGCAGAUUUUAAGAUUUCCUGAACCAACUUGUUUCCAUCAGUUAUGGUUUUGCCAUUAGUUUUAGUAGGAAAAAGCUUUCCUAGCUUUUAAGCUGGAAAGUUGGUUUGUUUUUUCGCCAUCUACCUUUUCAGAGGAAACAGUGGUGCCAGUACAAUCUCAUUGUCCGUAUCUGCAUUUAUCAAAAUAUUGAACAACAGGCCCACCUAUCAAGUGAUUUUACAUAAUUAAAUUAUUACAAAUAACAUGACUGUAGUCACCGAUAGGAAAGUAAUUCUUUUUAAGAUCCUUUGAUGUCAAGAAAAUAGUUCAUGCAGGAGCUCCAAUGCUGCACCUUUUAAGCUGGAGAUUUUCAAUUAGAAAAAGGAAAAAAAAAAGGUUGAGCCCAGCUGCUAAUGCACUGGUGAAAGGUGAAAGGUAUUACCUGCUUGUUGAACACCUGGCAAAUGGAAAAGCUGUCCACCAGACAGUUACACUUUAUGCAUUGACAAUGAAAAUUUGUUGUCACUACCUUGAUUGCCUUCAUAGCGUGCCUGAAAUCUGUCCUGUAGCAGUGGCCAGAACAGUUUGGAGACAGCAGGGAUAUUUUCCUUGCCACUGUGAGUAGAAGAAUGACUUCUGUGAGCCUGAGAGGAACAUGGGUGCUGCUAACUCUAUGUCAAAGCACGUACAUGCGUUAGUAAAGCUUGAAGUAAACCUCUGAGUACGAUGAACAAUAUCUGGAUGUGUUAUGUUUUCAGGUGGGACCCUCUCCUGAUAUGUGACCUACAGCAAGCUACCCUGAAUCGUAUGAUGACAAUGUUAUCGCUGCCACAUCUCUGGAAACCAGUUACUCAUAAAUAUAUGGUAUGUGAACUUCUGCAUCUUACAUUAAGCACUGCUAGUUGGAGCAGCACAGUAACAAUAAUAUGAAGGUGCUAAAAGCUAUUGAAGUAAAUGUUAAGCCACAUGUAUAAUAAAUUACCGUCAGCCAUUCCAGCAGAUGUUUAUCUGCUAGGCCUGGUCCAUAUGCAGAAUGGUGAACUGUUUUAACUGCAAAUACAAUCUUGAAAAUGCAUUCAUUUACAGAUGUUGUUAGAAACCUACCGAUGUUUUUUUUGGAUGGAGUUAUACCGGUAUAACCAUGAUGUGCAGAUAUGCAGCCUGCUAUUCUCCUCCUCGAGCAGGAAGCGGUGGUGGUAUUGGCAUGAAGGGUUCUGUGCCUUAACUGUAUCGUUGCAUUUAAAGCACUACUAUUUUUGUGUUUAGGAAAGGCCUUUAAUUGCUUUUCUCCUUCAUUCCAUUUUCAGUUUCUGGUCAAUCUAAAUUAGAUUAAUUUCACACACAGUGACUCCCUAAAGAAGUGCAAAUUAACUCAAUUUUACCAAAUUCAGCCAGAUGAUGGCAGUUAUUCCCUUGCUGUUUAGCUGUACAUUAUACAGUCUUUGAAUAAGAUUUCUAUAGGAAUUAAAUCCAUAUAUUGAAUCUUUUUUCCUUAGCCUGUAAGACUAAGACCCUCACCUUGUGAAAGGAGGUUAUUUAAUUUCUAGCCUGCGAGGCAAAACUAGCCUGCUACCUGGCAUGUCUUUCUUUCUUACUCUUCUGAUUCAGGGACUGUAAAACCACAAGCAAACUGGCUUUAUGAGAACUGCUACAUGAUUGCUUUGUAUUCUGGAGUAGUUUUGUAGCAUACCACGUAACCAUUAGCAUGGAGCAUCUUCUGAUUUAUGGUUCCAGUCCAGCUCCCACUGAAGCUGGUAGGAAAAUGUUUCUUCAUGCUGAUGGGAGUUGAAUUGCACCGCAUGUGCCAUCUGAGACUUUUAAGUAAUGUUCCCCGUGGGAAAUUUUUUUUUUACUGAUAGCCACUUUUUUGAGAUCGAGUGUUAAAGAUAUAAGCAUAGAACAAAAUUACAAGGAAAGGAUUGUUGAAAUAACAUAGGAAAGGGCUCAGUGGAAGUCCGUGUGCAGAUUCAAGAGUUGUAAAUGGGUGAGGAGAGAUGACUGUUUGCCACAAAAGCGUUUAUCUGGAUUCUGUGUGCUGCAUUUUUACAUAUAAUUUGGGGGAUGUUUGUCAGAUGUGUGGCUGAUUUACUGUUAAUGUCAGUGAUGUAAGAGACAGAAAGUACAACAGAAGUCUUACAGGGAGUAGGGAGAGGAAAUUCAUGCUUCAUUAAACAAUUUGAUGUAUUUUGGGAGAGCCAUUCACAACUCAGAUAAUUUCUGAAUGUUCCGAUUAAUGAAGAAGUGACCAGAUCUGGCUCACUCUGGUUCUGCUUGAAGGGAACAUCCUGGAGAUUAGGUGGGAGAGCAUUGACCCUGCUUACACUGAAAGGGCUGCUAGUGUGUCUGUGUGGCCACCCAUGCAUGCCGAGUACAAUUAACACCAUAGUUUACAGAUUUUUUUCUACACGUUUGUUCUGACAUCUCCUGUAUCAGCCAUAUCUAAGAACCUUUUCAAGAUGAGCACAGGAAUAAUGAUUUCUGUUGCUCUUGUUUCUUCUGAGUUGAUUUAUUUUUUAGCACUCAAAAUUGCCAGUGGAUAUAUAUAGAUUUUGUAAAUAAGUCAUUUUGGUGUUUGUGGGCAUGUUUGUAAAGUAAAACUGGUUUGAAGAAAUAGAGUUUUGCAUUCUGUAUGGGCAGAGGUCUGGAGAGGAGCUGGUAGGCCAACUAGACUAGCUUCCUUUUGCCACCUUUUCCAAAGGUACCUUUUCCAAAGUAGAAUGGUUGUGUUUUGGUUGAUAUUUUCAUGAUUUUUUUAGGUGGAAGGUGGCAUAUCACUGGAAGAAGGGCCCUCUGAGGGGAAGGCUGAUGGGGAGGUGUGGUUGCUAAAGUGGUGACAGCUUGCAGAUCUGUGUGUUUGCUGGGGACGGAGAGGAAGCAGACACCUCUCUGCUCUGCUUCUGAUGAGCUGAGAACAAGGUGUGCUGUGUCUCGCACCUCAAGAGAACUUAUUAUAUGAGGUAAUUACCUCUACCCAAAUCAAAAUGAAAUUUCAUUUGUUGAAUGUAGGAAUCAGAAUGAAGGGUUUUUUUUGUUUUGUUUUUCCUUUUGUGUGUUUUGGUUUUCAUCUUUGGCUAAUUCUCAUACAGCGUUGCAACAGGAAACUAAUCUUCAGGAGCACAGCCCGUAAAAGAUAGGCCUUCUGAGGGACUGGACUCUGCUUAUUGCAGAGACCUUCCAAGACAGGUACAUUGUAAAAGAUUACAGACCUUCACAGGAAAUUAAAUUGGAUGUGAUGUAGUAAAAGAGUGAGAAAAUGGAAAGGACAUAUGUAGCACAUUUAUGAUGAUUAAGUGGUAAGAAAAUGAAAACAUACGAUGCAGUGAAGUGUAUGUAAUUUAGAUAUUGAUACACACUUUCUAGUAUUUUAAAUAAUCUGCCCCUCCUCUUCCCUUUGCUCUCUCUGUGUCAUUAUCUCAGUGUGGAAAAUCAUUAGCAUCUUGUAAAAUCAUGUUGAUUUGGGGCAUAUUAGGUUAUAAAGUGUUCCAAAACAAGUCUCAGUAGUAAUGUGGAGUGCUCUCCAUUGCAUCAUCCAGAGGAAGGUGUGUGGGGAGCCAAACUGGGAGUGCUGGGCAAGAGCUGCAAUCUUGGCUGGUGGCUCACCACGUGGUGAUAUGGUGCUGGUGGGACAAAACUCCCAGUCUGUCUCCUCCUCAGUGUCAGCUCAAUAGCGUGGGUGAGCUGGGCUCAUUCCUGUCCAGGUGCCUGUGGGCAGAGCACAGGUUUCCCUAUCAGGGAAUUCUUUCAAAGGGGACAGUAAUAACUUCCAACAUUUUAAUAACUUUUCUUAUAAGAUCUGGUUACCUGAAAUUGGAAAGGAUAAGCAGAACUCUGAGAGAUUUAACUUUAUUAAACAUCAUAAAUCCUUUCCCUUUUGACCCUAAUCAGUCCCCAGAGUCUUUUUAAUGCUCUUGACAUUGCACCGGCCUUUCAUCAUUGCACAAUAUACGUUUUCCUGUUACAAGGAAACCGGUGGUGAGAGCCCCACUUAAACCAGAGGUGAAGGCAGCAGCAGUAGGUUGGGCAGAAACUCACUGCCAGCAAAGAGAAGGAGGGAGCUGCACUUUGGCAGUACUCCUCAGCAUGUUCCUUCCAUCUGUGGAGAGGAGUGGAGGGGACCCGAGGGUGCCGGAGAAACCUCUCCCUGCAGUUUGUGAGAGCACUACAGACAACACAACAGUGCUUUUGUGCCUUGUGCUGGCACGGGGGCUAAACCUGCCUCAGAAAGCCUCCUUAUGAUUAGGCACUGCCCCACGUCCCCGGGGGUAGCAAGCAGCAGGAAGCACUCGCUGCAGGCCGGCCAGCUCAGCCCCAGGAGCUGUGGACAAGAAAGAGGUGGCUUAUGGCACCGGGAUGUGGGGACUGCCGGGCGGAGGUAUGGUGAAUGGGGCCCUUCUUCGCUGGGAAGGAGCCUUACCAGGUGGUCGAGGGAUGAGGAAUGAGAAACAAAGGCCUUCUUCAUAAAGCAGCUACCUGGGUUUCUGCCUUCCUGUCCAAGGCGCGCACAAAUCCUCCGGAAAGCGAAGGGGGAAUUCCCGGGCUGGUAGUCUGUCCUUCCUUGUGCUGUCCAGGAAUUCAUGUGAUGGGGAAGGCAUCCAAAGAAUCUGUCCCUAUGUGUAGGGAAGCUAAGUUCCCUCUUUUUCUUCCCUAUGUGCGAGUCAGCAAGUUUCUUCUGCAAAUGCCUUAAUUUUAAGCUUAAUGCUAUGCAAAUAUUUGGCUUUGGAGGUAAAAGCCUCAGGCUGGCUUCAGCUCACGGACUGGCUUCCAGCUGUUUCUACAGGUACUGAUCCAAUGUUUAUAUACACAAAUUGCUAUUUAUUUAUUUAUUGUGGUAACCUUUUAAAAGAAACUUGGAUAUUUGCCUAGCCUGUUUUUGCUUCAUACUUGAAAAUUGAUGUAUUUGCAAUGUGCGUACAGCCAUUUUCAGAAGCUUUGGCAAAACCCUCAGAUCUGCUGAAGAUAAUCGUGGUAGGCUGAAUCCUUAGAUAGCACAGAGUUGUUCUGACUGAUUUUUCCCGUAAAGAAGUGCCCAACACUUUGCUUACCCCUGGAAGCCCACCAACCUUGACUAGGAAACAAAGGUGUAGGAAGAGCUGGCACCUGCUGCAGGAGCUUUGUGCUGUAAUUUGGUUGUCUGGACAAGCAGUCACGGGGCAAGAGAACAUUCAGAAUGAGUGUCAAGAGUGCUAGCAAUACAUACGUUAACUAGGUUUCCAAAAUCUACUAAAAUGCUACCUUGAUGUAGAGCACAGUGUUCUAUCCACAUGUAUUUCACUUUCUCCAGCUCUCGUCUCAGCUCCUGCUUGCCUGCAAUCAGCCUCUUAUUAAAAGGGGAAAGUCCAUCGCCUUGUGGACCUUCUGCAAUGUGCUCAGCGUGUGAGCUAUUGACUUCAUAAAGACAAGAAUAGCUAUCUCAAAUGUGUUUCAUUUGCAUGUGGCAAGAUAGAAAAAGCAAACUCUGUGUGAAGACGAGCAGAUGAGAAAGACACUGAAUGCCUUAAAUGCUAAGGGAGUUAAUGCUAUGCAGUGAUUUUUGCUUCUGUUAUAGGAAGUGUAAGAACAGUACGCUUCCUAGCGUACAUCACCAUCUAAACUGCAAAGAUUUCAGUUCCAUGGCAACACGAGGAGCCCCAUGGUGCUUAAGGUGUACGUAUUAAUGCAUUCAGAGUUAGGGGCUGUUACUGAGAUGGUAAGAAUAAAACAUUCGGAAUAUCUCCCAUUUACUUAUUGAAGGCUUUGUUUAUAGAAAAUCAUCCACCCCCUCCCCCCCCCCCCCCCCGUAUUGUCUCCAGUCCUUUCUAUGUGUGUUUUUUUCUCAGACAAAAAGCAAAUGAAGCGAUUGUUAACUGGUGGUAUUUUUUCCAUAAGACUGUUCAGUGCAGCAGCACUUGAAAGUUGCAAGAAAAUGCUGUUGAUUUUUGGUACUGUUGUGUAUCUCUGGAGAGGAGGACUUGGUAGCAGGGGGGGAUUAUUUCUUCCCCAAGAUGUACUGCUUUAUAGACCAGAGUGAAGCAGUAUUUGGGGUUUUUUUAAUCAUUGUUUUCCUUAUUCUUUUUGAUCAGCCCUCUUUCUGCCUUUCUUUACAUCGACAUCCAGUUUCUCCAGUCUGAGGAGCAGGAAAUACGACUGAGCUCUGUUUCCUGGCAUCCAAAGAAAUAUACAAGUGCAAGGAAACAGAGUAUUUUGUUUCUGCCAGUUGCUUGGGUUUGCAAUGUGUCCCCAGUAAUGCACCUGGACAGAGCCUGAGUCCCCCUCUAGAGCAAGUGGGUGAGGGGCCAGGGAAGAACCCAGGCGAGCAGCAGGGCUAAGCUGGCACAGGAAGACUGACAGAAAUGGGCAAGUUGAACUGGUUUUACAGCUGUUUUGCAUUGCUGAAACAGGCAAAGCAGCCAGAGUUAUCGGUGGGUCUGGCCUGUAGAUUUCGUCAAGAUUUCUCUGUGUGACUGCAGAGAGAGCACAGCGCUGCAUUUGGAGGCUGGUUGGCUGUUUCCUGUUGCUGUGCCAGGAGGAAUAAAUUCAUCUCUCUGUUAUCUCUAUCUGUAUCUCUUUCUUUCUUUCUUUUUUUUUUUUUUUUUCAUUUGCUCACAACAGGAAUUUUUUUUAUUAAAAAUAAGGCUGUCAUUCACUGAAGGGGGAGGUUUUGCCUUCAGGAGUGCAGCACAACCCAAGUAAAUCCUUUCUGAGGACAUAAGGAGGAAUGAAAUGAUUAAGUGACACUGCACUGGCACUCUGCAGAGGGCCGAUUUCCACCCUUGGGCAGCAGAACCACAAAGCAAGGAGGUGUUGCAUGUACACAGCAUCUUCUAGGAGAGCUCAGCACUGGGAGCCCCGGCCAUGUGCUGAUGUUGCUUGUCCUUGUAGUUCUUGCUUAAAAAAAACCCACACAGGUGGAGCUCACUGACUAUGUGGCUGUACAAUUAAUGCAUGCUUGUCAAAUGACAUGGGGCCUCAAAUGAAGAGCAUUGUUCAUUCAUGGGCAUCUGUGCGUCAGUGUCCAACCCAGUGCAGCCUCUGGGUAGGCCAGAUGCUUUGGGGAGCACCUCAGUCAGUGUGGCAGGAAGGAUGGAGAGAAAGCACUGAGAAACUUCAAAGAAAGAAAAAAGGGAGGAGAGAAAUCAAGGGCAGGAAGAGAGAUGAGUGAGGAAACAGCAAAGGCGAAAGGGCCAGCGGAGAACAACAGGGGGCUGGGAAGAACACAGGGCAGGAAGGAGAGAAUGCUUUGGUGUGCUUGAGAAAAAAGUCAUUUUCAGAUGAAACGCAGACAAAAAGGAGCAAGAAAAUUACAGAAUGUGAAGUGGGAGAGGAUAUCAGAGUUGCAAAGGAGGAGGAUUCAAACUGAUACAAACAGAAAAUAUGUAUAACGUGUAUGGAUUGAUUUGAUGUGUUGGCCCAGCCAAUUUUAAGUAGCGACUGGUAAGUCUGUAGCAGGAAAGGGCUGUGCCAUUCUUCAUGAGGAAGCUUUGGGCUGGUAGGGAGCAGCAGGGCCAUGUGGGGAGACUGCUGCAGGUCCCAUGGCUGGAGCUGGAAGCGUAUCACUCCAUCUGCAAUGUUUGCUUCUUUCUGUCUCUCUCUGCAGGGCCUGGACUGCUGCCAUCUCCCUCCUUGGAGAGCAGGGUAGUGGAGCACCUGCCACCAAGGAGAAAAACUGCCUAUCUUGCCUUCAAAGGCUGGUGGCCAGAAAGAUGUGUCUGGUUGUCUUCUCGUUUACCUGAGCUGCUGUUAGGCAGGCAGGUAUAAGGUCUCUGUCUAUAUCCCUCUUGUGCAAGCUAUCUAGGCUACCAGAAAUAAACAGCUGAAUGGAAAUUUUACUUCUGGCUGUGAAAAGUGGCUUUUGAAUGAAGUCUACUUCAAAUAACAAAUGCCUUCUUUCCUCCUCCUCCUCUCCACCUACUUUGUUCCUAACCAUUAACUUUUCAUGUCACUUGAGCUAAGUUCAGUGUCAGACUCACCAGAUCCUACUGAAAAACACAUCUCUCUUUUGUGGCAAGCUGAAGAAGAUGAGAGGCUUGUGGUGUUUUUCCUUCUCAAUCUUUGCUCCUCUGGGAAAAGCAGCUAAGGCUGUGUGAAGCUGCCUCCUUCCCACUCUGCUCAAAAAUGCCUCUCCAUCAACUGCUUUGAAGCUUCUCUUAAGGAGGCUCGGCCUGGCCUGCUCAGUGCCAUCAUCUGCCAGGGGAGGUUUUCUCAGCUUGUGGUGGCUUCCAUCGUGGUAGAAGGCUGCAGAAGAUUGCUGUGGAAUAAGUCAUCAUCACCACUAGCUAUGCCAUUUGAAAAUCAUUACUUAAGCAUGAAAGAGAAGAAAAAGAUGAAACAUUAGGAGAUUUAAACCCUACCCAAAGCUCCAAAUAAUUUCUGCCAUUUCUGCUUUCUGUUUCCUAAUCAUAGGCUGCUUCUGCCAUGAGAGGAAAUGGCAGUCACUGGACAGUGGUGCUUGAAAUAUUCUGCGGCGUGCACUAAUACUUAUGGUAAAGAUGGAUGUAUUUAUGGGAAACAAAUGGAGAUCUGAGCUUUCCUGGGGACCUUAAUGGUAUUAUCUGUUAUAACUUACGUGCUAAUACUUGCUUAUUUUGAUCGGUGCUGAAAAACAGGAUCAGAAAAUAGAAUGUGGACUUUGGGUGCUGUCACACAAUGAUGAGUCAGCUGAAAUUGAAGCCAGUUCAAGGUUUAAGUAUGAUCGUUGAUGUUCUUGAAAAACAAAAUCUCUCAACCAGUCAGCAGCUGAGUUUACUUCUCAGCUGUUAGACAAAAGCCACCCUUUGCAGGGAUGCUGUGUGACAGAAGGAACUCUUUCCUUUUCCCUCACCUUGGCCAUUAGUCCAACAGUUAGGAAUCAGAUUUAACCCUUGGUGUUCGUUGCAGGCUUUGUGAGUCUUUUCCAGCAUUGAAAAAAGUAUUUUUGAUAGACACACUAGUUUGUUGAUUUGUUUGCAAUCAGUUUUCCCGGAGGUUGCUGUAAUGUGGGAGGAACUGAGUUCUUUGGGUGCAAACGUUCACUGCUGACUCUUCUUAGUCAUUAGAUGUUUUUCACAUUAAGGUGCUUUUACUUUUAUGGGAAAAUGUCAAGCAUCUUCUGAUAGUAGGCAUUCAAAUUGACAGAAGCCAUUGGCUGGGGCCAAUGCAGCAUCACGCCAGCACAGACCUCGAGGGGCCUGCAGAGCCCUGUUCCCACCCAUGCACCCCUGCUUUACCUCCUGAACCAGCCCUAGGUCCGACAUCCUGGUACCGACCUACAUCCAUGCUGAUGUGCCACCAAACUGAAAGAUGUCACUGUUCUUUUCCAAAAAGAACGUGUCUUUUUAUACAGUUCCCCUGCCAUCUCUUUUUAUUUUCUAACUGCAGCUCUUUUAAGGCUCCCUGCCUUUGCAGUUCUUGCCUUUGUUUAGAUUAUUUUUGGAAACUGGGGAACAAGAGGAGGGAUGAAGUUCAGGGGGCUGACUGUACUAGGAGGCCGAAACUCUUUCUGUCUGUGUGCUCUUCCCUCUUCUUUCUUCUCUCCAUGGCAGGGCAGGUUCCAGGGCACGCCAUGGCCUCAUGCACAAAACGUGGCUGGCACAUGUGCCGACCCCCCCUUCCUUCCUGGAACCACCAUCAUUGCUCUUCUGCUUUCCUGGGUCAGCUGGGCAAAAGGUUUGAGAGCUGUGAGUUUUGAGAGCUGUGGAAUACUGGGGAGCACUUGCACCUUAAGGUAAAUUGUAUGCAGAGAGGAAUGUGUUUCCUUUAUUAUUUUUCAGUGAGGCAGCCCCACAAAGGUUGUUGGCCUUUUCUUUAAGUAUUGUCGUGUUUUUACAUCAGGAGUGUCACACACUGGCUGCCAAGCUUGGCAAGAAAAUCUACAUUCUCUGGAAGCCUGAGGAACAGCAGCUGAAGCCCGAAGGCGGCUUUCUCUGCAUAGGUUUUUUAAGAUAGUUAGCGCUUGGGAAGUCAUUGGCUGUGAGAUAGGUCAGGCUGUCCUCUUGAUAGCUGAGACAGUACUCAGGUAAUUGAGAUACUUGUGAUUGCCCAUGGAAAUUUGCUGAUGUUUAUAAUACUGUCAGGCGCUAAAGUCACUCCCUAACAUUGGUUGUGGGAUCUUAUAGUGGAUCAAUAUCUAAGCACAAUGUGGGAAUUUUCCUCACAUACGUAUUUUUUUUUUUCUGUGGUUAUGAAGAUGCCUAAAUAGCAGUAUGCUGCAGUAAAUGUUAAACAUUAAAAACUGGUUCUGUGUGUACUGAUAAGAGUAAAUCACUAGAGAAGGAAGUAACCUGAGUUUGGCUGGUGAAGCUGAUGCAUCUAUGGUGGAAAUCAAAGUGGGGGAUGAUCACAGUCCUAAUUCUGUCUUUGGAGAAUAGAUUUGAGUCAACAAGAAGAGAGAAUGAAUAUGACUUUUCCCUGAAUUAAAAAGGGAGGGUAGAUGAUUCUGUACAAGAAGCUGCACAACUGAUGCAAAAAGUGAGCCAUAUGUAGGGAGAGGGUAAUCAACAGAACAUGAAAUACUCUUUGAAAAUACAUUGAAAUUGAGUGUUGUUUGUUGUUGUUGUUGUUGUUGUUUUUAAACUGCUGUGCUGUAGCAGAGAUCAGUUAAUUCUGUGAUUCUGUGAAUGGUUGUGCAAAGUGGUCGCUUAGAGGAACCAUAGAAUCAUAGAAUGGCCUGAGUUAAAAAGGACCACAGUGAUCAUCGAGUUUCAACCUCUCUGCUACAGGCAGGGUUGCCAAGCACUAGACCAGGCUGCCCAGAGCCACAUCCAGCCUGCCCUUGAAUGCCUCCAGGGAUGGGGCAUCCAUAAUCUCUUUGGGCAACCUGUUCCAGGGUGUCACCAUUCUCUGAGUUAAAAACUUGAUCCUAAUAUAUAACCUAAAUCUCCUGUUUCAGUUUAAAACCAUUCCCCCUUAUCCUAUCUCUAUCCACCUUCUCCUAUCCCCCCUUGUCCUAUCACUAACCAUCCUUCUCCUGGCAUUCCAUGGUGGAGCAUGGACGCCCUGUCGGCAGGAAUUUAUUGUCACCCACCCCAGUGCUCAUGGCUGGCGCUCAGUGAGGUCUUCUGGGGCUAAUUAUUUAUUUAAUGAGGAGUGGUCACAGUGGCACUAUGAGAAGGGCAGCCCCGCAGCAGGAGGUGUCUUGGAGGUAAUCCCACUGCUCACAGAUAGGCUUCUUGUGCAUACUAUAAAUAAAUAAAGUAAUGAAUAACUGUAUGUUGGCAUUUUUGUUUAAGCUUAUUAACAGUGGCUAAUAGUAUUGAAAGUGCUUUGGGUACUACCAUGCUUUGUAGUUCUCUAAUUUCUUGAAGAAGUAGUUGAAAGGCUUGAGCAGCAAGUUAAGAAAUCAGGUUGCUGCUGACUGAACUUUUGAACUUUUCCUAACAAAAGGGUAGGUCCGCGAGAGAAGAGUCAAAUUUAUGUGUGUGUACACAUGAGCAGUCCAGAUGAUUUCACUCCAAAGAGAGAAAUCUUCCUCUUUUUAGGCUAAAUAGGCAUGACAAUGCUGCUCCUUAGUUCCACGUGUUUCAAAGGUAACAGUGAGUGCUGGUGAUUCAAGGGAGCCUCAGGAAGAAAGGAAUUUGAGCGUAACUUAAGAGAUAAAAGCUAUUGUUUGACACGAGAUAUUUGGAGCGUCUCUACAAGAUUUUAGAUUGUGUGUUGGUUCAGGAAAGAAGAGAAAGCAAAGCAAUGAAAUCCUGUGGUUAUGCUUUUAUCAAUACAUUUGAUUUUUUGGAAGAAUGCAUUCUGGGUCUGAUCCUCAUCUUCUUUCCCAAUUACUGAUUAAUAAGAAAUAAAGUCUUGCAGAGAAAAGCUUUCAUGCUUUUAAAUUUCAUGGUCUGUAGCGAAGGACAAAAUGAAGAAAAGAAGAAGGACAAAAUGUUUUGAAAAACAUGAGAAAUGGGCAGUUUUGAUGUACCAGGCACAGCUCAGGCUGGGCUCAGUCAGUGCUGCACUGCAUUCACUGACUGCCAACUGGGCCCAUUCCCCUUCAGCCCGGUGAGGUGGCAUCCUGUGCAUGCAGUGUCAGGAUGUUCCCUGCCUCCCCCUGCCCUUCCUGCAAUAUUUUAAUUUCACUAUUCCAGCCGAGCAGAAGCUGUCAGCAGCAGCAUCUGGAGCAGCCUUGUCCUCGAGUGAGUGGCUCUUCUCUCUGCUUCAGGGCAGACAGCGGCAUUGGCAAGGCUGGAGCAACAGGACUUGGAUUUUGGGAAGUUUUAAGCUGGUUUAUGCCUGUGUUUUAAUUGUAACAUUUGACUGUAUUGAAUAUAGGAACUGUUCUCAGCAGGUCUUUGUAUGCGUGAGGCUGUUUGAGCUGGAAUCCUGUGUUACAUUGCUGUAGGUGGAUGCUGCGAUGAGGGUGGUAAAGGAGAGCAUCUUCCCUCUGCUGCCUUUCCCCGCUCCCCGCUUUCUGUAAUCCCCAGUCAGUCUGUGCCUUCCCUGGCCAGACAGAAUUACAGUAGGUAUACACUCGGAAUCGGGUUUUUAUUGUCAGCACCUGUGAGCAAUCAAAGCUUGUUUGUGCAAAUUCAAAAUGAAACUUCAAUCUGAAAUGGGUGUGAUUUCAGAACAGCUUGUUUGCAGCCAUUGUUACUCUUUGCCAAGAAAUAUAAGGCUUUACAGUAACUCCUAGGUAUUGCUCUAGUUACUGUGCACUAGAAUAAACCCAUCAUGUUUCAUGUCUGACUUUAUUUGGUCCCUUAAAGCCUAGUGGCAUACAUAUGAUGCGAGCAGACUCAUGAGACUACUGCAGCUGUAUUAUUUUUCAUUACCGUGUUCUAAAAAUUCAUGUUAAGAAUUUUGGUGAAGAAUGGAUCAUUGACAUAUUUUUAGUUAAUAUCUUGGAAUAGGGAAGUACACCAUCCUCAACUUACAGUCACUCAGCUGUGAACGAGCUAGAUACGGAGUGGACCCAGAGUGAAUACAGAGAAAUGAAAAAUCCUCAGAUCACUUAGUUGCAGCUGCAGAUGAGAUUUUUGCCAUCAGGUGAUAGUUCCAGAAUCCAGGUUCCCGGUGUGUAAGAAGAACAUCCUUACUCUGAUGGUUUGAUUUGCUUUAAAACUUUGACAUAAGAACUGUUGUUUACCGCUAGUAGUGCUACCAACUGGAACCAGGGUAGACUGUUACACAGGUAGUAGUAAGUUGACAUUUAACUAUAAGUAUACUUAUUUCCAAAGAUAAAAAUGUAGGCUUUUAUGCUUAAUAUCUGAAAUAAACUCACUUCCCUCCACCAAUUAUUACUUACCUGAGAUUUCAUCAGAGGUGUUUGCAUGCACAGGGAGAUGUCCGAUUCAUACUUUCAUAUGGAAAAAAUAAGUAAUUAUGUAGCCUCAGCAGACUCUAUUUCUAUGGUGUUUUAAUUUCACUUUUCAAUUAUAAUCAGUAUUACCUGUUUUGUCACUGCUAGCAUGAGAAGAAAAGCCCUAAGAAACUGAUGUGCAGGCAAAAGGAGAAUAGCAUAACUAUUUUUAUGUUCCUUACAUCAGUGUCCCGGUUUGUCUAAUGUUGUAUGGCACAGUGACUCCAGUGCUCCACACUGUUCUGUCCUCAGUGAGCCAAACAUCUAUUCCAAGAUUGCUGUCUGCUUCACAAGUUGUAGAAACUUUCGAAAAAGAAUUUGCUAAUUUGGGGUGCUCAUUCAUUGUCUGCUUGGAAAGCUGAUUGUCUCUAUGUUUUCAGCAAACAAUAUUCUUACACUAUCCUUACAAUGUCCUUACAAUAAUAUGUAUUCCUAAUGGAAUUCUUUUGGUCAGCAAGGGAGAAUUCAUCUGCUUAGGACUUCAGAUGCUUCAAUUCAGAAAACCAUCAGGAAGCACUGCUGCACCAGGGCACCUCUUCAUUCAUUUAUGCUUAUUUAGCUGGGUAAUGACAGUUACCAUUGUGAUUCCCCUUCUGUUCUGUACCUUUCUUCAUUUUUAUUUCCUUGCAUUGAAAAGCACUACAGUGUUACUACUGGGAACAUCCAGCACUGUUCCUGCCAGUCCCUUAUUUUUCCAUAUGCCCUUUCACCUCAGAGAGAGCGCCAUCACUGCCCAUCCGUCAUGUCUCCCAUUCAUACCUAUUCUGUACAAGGUUUGCUGGGUUUCUUUUUGUUUCAGGAACACGGGCUUUUGCAAAGCCUGUUGGCUUCAGAAGCACUUGCACAACUUGUACUACGUCUACUAUAUCAGAACCGACAGAACUGGCAGCUCUUUUAAAAAACAAAAACAAACAAACAAAAAAAGCCCCAAAACAGGUAAACCUGCAAAAAAAAAAAAUUAAAAAAAACCCUCUUCCAAAUGGAGUAAUAUGCCUGUUAUAGAGAAACAAAGGCUUUUGACUCUUCCUUGUUCAGACAGCCCCUUGGAGGUAUGGAUUGCUUCCCCUUAAUGAGUAUUGACCGGGUCUGGGAGACACAGCACCGGGAUCUUCCAGAUGGGUGCCUGCUGGGGUUAACCCCUUCUGCAUGUCAGCAGGAGACUGAACUUCCAAGCACUGGGUUCCCAGCCAUUUGAAGGCUGCUGGGCUGCAUGCGCUGAGGCUCUGCAGGUUACGGUGUGCCUGUGGUGUGUGAUGGAACAGGCGGGAAGUGCUGGGCUGGGGCACCCCGGGACACCACUGGAUGUGUCUGCUCAGGGCUGUUAAAUUAGGCCACGUGCACACAUAUAUAUGCGUGAGGGAAAAGUGGGGGCCUUGCAAAGCACUUGGGCUAAAAAUAAUGUCCGGUGUUGUUUUUACGUAAUAAUGCUAUCACAGAUGAAGAAAGUGAGGGAGGAGUUUGUAGCCUGGGACAUUUCUUCUUUCCUUUGCUUUGCAGGGUAAACGCUAAAGAUCCUGGAGUGUUUGUUUGGCUAAGUAAUGCUUUCCAGAAGUAUGUCAAUGAAGUAGUCAUUGAAGUCAUAGAAUACCUUCCUAUAUUUAGCAUUUAAAUAUGCAGUAGAAAGCCAUUAACUUUUAAACUCCUAAGAACCGUAAGCAUUCCUGCAAAGGAACUCAGAUGUUCAAGUGAGCCAAUUAAGGAUACGGAUUUUACUACUGCCAGAAUAGUGCAGUAAGUGUUGUGCCAUCAGUGGUUGGGGUAAGCUCAGUUACAUCCUGCUGAGUGUGGUUGCUGUGAGGGCACGUGCAGUAUCCUCAAACUGUUGAAGGGGCAGGAUUGCUGUGGGGUUAUCACUUGGUUAGUUAAUUUGGAGGACCGUGCUUUUCCCUAGAGAUUGAUACUAAAAAAUCCAGUUAUGCAGACCCGUACAAUAGUUUAUGUGAGAAAGGAAUCUCUGGGCAUCUUCUUUCCAGCCCCUGCUCACAGCAGGUGCGUGGUUUUGCAUGUUGUCGUUAUCUCACCUGCAUGUGAUCGUGAUGAUUUAUGCAAGAAAGAUUAAUUAAUCAGAACUUUUUUUGUGUGUGCAUGUGUAGACAAGAGGCAAGUGCCAAAGAGGGGUACAAACUGAGUCCAAAGUGUUUUACAGAGGUGGUGGAGAUGGCAUUGAAGUGCCACCAAAAAUCCCACCCCACUUAACACGUAUGAGUGCUCAUACAGAAGGCAAACAUCGCUCUGGGGUAGCACAAGGGACCUAAUUGGAACAUUUGUAACUUAAUUUUAAAUCGUUGUUGUCAUUGUGGGUUAAUAUACUGAAGGAAUCAGUAAAUAUGCUGAAGAAAUUGGUAGGUAGUAAAAGCGAAGGCUAUACAACAGUUUAUAGCCAGUGGUUCUGUUUAGGCUUAAUCCCCGUAAUGCCGUGUUAAAAUUUACAAAACAGCUUGUAAUUGCAGGAGCUUAUUUAAACCAGCUAUUUGUGGUUAUGUCUGCUGAGGAAACUUAAACUUCAGCGUUCCCCAGCCAUCUAAUAGCAGCAAAUUGACUGCGGGUCUCUUGUAAGAAUAUCUAAAUGUAGGCUGUUGAAUAAUCCCUUUGGGGGCCCUGUAACUAUUUUUGUGCCUGGAUAUGCGUCAUCAGUGGGUAUUUUCUCUGGUGACUAGCUUACAUCAGUAGGUCUCCUACCAUACACUCUAUCAGCAAGUGACUUAUGAUUGAUGGGAGUCACGGCCGCGCUUGGGCAUUUAUCUGUGACCUCAAAUAAUGGACAACGGGAAUCUCCACGCUGUUAAAUCCCUUCGAUGACGGGAGGUACGGGCUGCCCGUGCUGGGCGAUGCAGGUACUGCCCUGGCACCGCUCGGGGCCGAGGCGGGGAGGGAGAAGCAGGGCUGCCGCGGUACUCCGGGGCUGGGUGGUGAUGCUGCUCCAGGCUGGGGGCAGUGCUGCUCUGGGGGGCGACGCUGAUCUGUGCUGGGGGUGAAUCUGCUGCAUCUCGCAGCCCCGCAGAGGGAAGCGCGGUGAAGCUGGGCUGCAGUGCUGGGAGCUGGGCUGCAGCGCGGCAGCGCGCUGAACGCAAACAGGUCCGGGGCUUCAUCACGGGGCUGUCUCGCCUUAAAUCUCAAGGUGUGGCGGACGAUGCGGGUUUAAGGUUAAGUUGCACCUGCCCCAGUGACCUGCCGAGCACGUGGUCGUGGUUUGUUUCCUGCUGAUAAAUGCUUCACGUUGUGAAGAGGAAGAAUGCAGACAGAAGUUACCUCCGUUUCUCCUUUCUCUCUGCUUCUCUGUUGAAAUGUGACAUGGGAAAUGAGGCUGCGAGACAGGCGUGAGAUCUCUGAGCGCUACCUGUGAUGAAUUCAGCGGCUUGAGCCAGUCCCAGAGUGAGGCGCUUUGCAAUUUCUUCUUCUUUUUCUCCUGCAGUUUCCUAGUGCUUUCGUUACAGCUGCGAUGGGAAAUACAAGAUCAGCUCUUUGUGAACUUUAGCUCCGAAGUCACUCCAGUCCUUCUCCUGGCAACCAGAGAAUAAAACUGACAGAUAGGGAUGCUCUCAGUGUGAUGGACGAUUCAAAAGCCCCCAGUGUUGUUUAUCACGUGGCAUUGCUUGGCUGAGGGAGGAUAGUGACUGGAUCAGAAUUCCUCCUCACCGUGUCUUCCUGUUGGCAGUUGGCCCUCUGCAUAGCCUGUGCUUUCAGAGCCUCACGCUGCUCUCACGUGUUUUACUGCCUGCUAUUGUUUCUCACCCAGGUGCACGUCUGUUGUGCAAGGCGUUGAGACCUAAAAACUUUCAGAGGGAAAAGGGGAACUGCGUUUUGACUUGUCUGUGUGUCAUCUGCUCCCCACACGUUGCCCCAGCCACUGUAGUUAAUGAAUGAAACCAGGCUUCCUGUAGGAGCCACUUCAUCGAGGGCUGUGCGUCUGUUGACACAGCACUUCUAUAAAGCUGCCUUUAGAAUCAAUGUAUGUUCUUCAGUAUUGUGGAUGCCCUCGCUCUGUGGGACGUAUCUUAUACGUACCUGACCAUUCCUUCCAGGCAGAUGCCUCUCCUACAGCAUAGGCACUGGGUCUGAAUCGAGUUUCCUUAUCUUUCCUCUGACUGGUGAGCAUUUGCUAAGAAUUGCAUUCAACAGAGAAGUUGUAGGAAGAGAAAUGGCGUGUAUGAAGCGACUUGGAAAAUCAAGGGAGAGGAAGGAAUGUAAAGGUUUUCAUUGAACCAUCAUUUCAUUUGCCUCUAUUUUUUUUCCUGUCACUUCAGUAAGACUUUGUGAUUCAUGACAAACUGGUUAUAUAAUUCAAAAUCUGUAAAAGGUUAAGCACAACAAGCAUGAUGAAUCUUGUCUCAUUUGCAUUGCAAUUCAUUGAUUCUUCCUCAAGUACCAUGCUUAGAAAAUGUAAAGCUUUGUAACCAGCUGAUGUUAUAGAUAUUCUUUGCCACAGCUUUCUAGGAAUCAUUAUAGACAGGAACACAUUAGCAUCUCUUGGCUAAUACUGACCACAUUUCUCCCAUUUCUGUGAGGAUUGUGUGUUAAGUUAGUGAAAAUAUUUUUGGGUAGCUUCCACUUACAGUGCUCGUGCAAAAUCUUGGUAUCACCAAAUUUCAAGAAAGACCAAUGACGCCGUCAUCUGGAAUUGUUCAGAUCAGGUCGUAGCUUGCUAGGAAGAAGCAUUCACAAGUUGCCCACCUGUUCCUGGUGCUGUGUGCUGGGCUGCUGGGUGAAGUCUACACUGAUUGUUGUCUGGCAGUGUUCAGCAGUGACUCUCCACAUGCUGUGAUGGUGCAUCAUUGGGUACACACGGUGUCUGAGAAUAAUGGCCCUCAGGUGAGCUCAUGCCAGGCGGGUGCCUAGGCUGUGCACCCACGCCCUGUUGACUUAGGUGACUCAAUGCAGGCACGCAGCUCCGCUUGCACAGCACUAACCUGGGAGAGCCUUUGCUGGUUUGGAGGCCACCUUUCCAAGUAUUGACAUAUUUUGGGGGCUAAAAUGGAAACUGGGCCAGGUGCAGGGAUAUCAGAGGCUUUACCAUGAGUGUUUCUGAAUGCGUCAAAGUAAAAGAUGAAAUAAAGCUCACUUCUCUCCUGCCUAGUACAUCUGUGACUGCAUGCUCUUUUCCACUGCUAAGAAGUCUGAUACAUGGUGAGGGUCAUACCAACAACCAAUGAGUAUUAUUGUCAUUUUGUAUUGUUUGGACUCUUAGUGCCUAAAUUCUCCUGGCAGUAAAGAGGUAGCCUGAGUAGAAAGAGCCACAAAACUAAUGCAAAGCUGGCCUUGCUCAUGACCCUCCCUUCUUACAGGAGGACUUUCAUGAAGAGUGACUGCAUGGAGCAGGCAGCGCUGCUUGGGUCUUACCAAAUACGUUGCCCUUGGAGAAGAGUUGCUACAGCAAGAUGACUGAACACAGUCAAAGUAUUCUGAAAUAUGAGGCAAAGCAGUGAUUUCACUGCUUCAGGGAACAUAGUGUCUUUGGAUUGUGUUAGUUGAAAAUCGUCUUAUAGUUGUAAAUACUUGAUCUCGCAAGAUGGUCUUUCUAUUUCCAUAAACCCCAUUAAAACAACUGAACCAGUUCUUAGAUGCAAAGCAACUCCAGUUUUAGUCAACUUGUGUGGGGAGAAGCUUAGAUGAUAGUUUCUUCAGUUUAUUUUGGGUUUUGUUUCAUGAUUUUUCAGGUGUUGUGGAGGAAACAUGGAUUAGCCAUUGCUUCAUUUUGAUGUUAAUUUGAUUGCAGGGGAAAGGAAGGAGUCACUCCUAAACACUGGUGAUGUUUGUAGUGAGUGGAGUAAUGAAGAGCCAAGAGAAAGAAAAGCGAUGCAGUGAAAGAUUACACGGAAAAUAAUGCAUAAAGAAAAGUUGGAAAAGUGAAAAAAGCGAUUAUUGGUAUUUCAUUUUUUUCCAUUUAAUCUUGAUAAGGUCAAUGAAUAGCCUUCCAUAUGCGUAUAUAUAUAAACACACACAUAUAUACACGUAUAUAUUCUUUUUAGUGGUAAGUCUGUACAAUACUGGAAAUUAAUGGGCUUAGAUAAUGCUGAAGUGCUUCCUGCAUGCUCUGCGUGUGAGGGCCCUGGUACUGAAACCUCUGUCCAUCUGUCCUUCUUCCUAUAAGCAGCCAGCGACUUUCCUAAAACAGUCUGAGAUCCAAGACCAUGCUGUCAGGAACUUGACUGACUUCUAAAUGUUGCUUGGAAUAUAAUUAGUUUGGAAAGAAUGCACACAUUUAUUUGAAUGUGUCGGAGAAAGAAUGAAGAUGCUGCAAGUGAUGUCUGUAUGUGACAGAGGGGAAAGGCACCUACUUUAUCUUGGUAGCCCGACAGCAACUCCUAUAAAUCAUGGUGAUGUCUUUUCUUUGUCUUCUGUUUUGUUUCCUAUAUAUGCACAGCACUGUAAUUCCUGUAGGAAUUUUGCUUGUGGAAGUAUUUCUCUCAAGUGCCACGAAGUGAACAUUUUUCAUGCAGGACCUUGCAUUGCUCCAUAAGCUGUGUGCUGCUGGUGACUCAGCCCAGCUGGAGCCAGACGCUGCUCCACAGAUGCAAAGAUGCACAUGAAUCCCAAAGUGGCAGCGGGUUAGGGACAGAGUUACUCCGGGUAAAGGGAUUCUGUUCCCUUCCCGUCCAGGUUGAAAUCUUCUCCAGGCAGACCCUGACCUGACCCUUCACAGGGAAUUGUGGCUGACUUUGAAACAAGAGGUAAAAGAGGUGAGAAAGAAAUACUCCACACUGACAUCCUCUGGAGCCUUGAUAAAGUCAGGACAGUGAAGGGGUACUUAAAAAAUAUCCUUAUGAGGGAUUUACUUGGUACUGCAAAUCACUAAUAACGGGAGUGCAGUACAAGGCCCUAAUUCAGGAUUGCUGAGGAGUUUGUCCAAUGUCUGUAGUUUUGUAUCUUGACUUUGUCUUUUGGCUGACUGGCUUUUAGCAUUGAGUUUUCCAGAAACUUAUUUGGCCUUUCUUCUUCUCAAGCCAGUUGCUACCCAAUUGCAAUUGCCAAUUGCAAAUUUUGACUAAAAAAAUGAAAUCCCUUUUCAGAUAGUCACUUUGUUUCUACAAACUCAUUCUAUAGUGGAUGGACUCCGCGAAGCCUUUCUUUUUCUGUACGUAUUUAUACUUCUAGUCAGUGAAGUGAAUGCACAUUUCUGAAGAGAUUUUCUCUUGUAUGCUCCUUUGUGACUGUGUUUGUUCAGGGAUAGAGGAGACAGAAAUGAGUCUGUGAGGUCCUGCCAUCUGCUGUCCCUCCAUUGGGAGGUCAAAUGUCAGCCCACAGCAUGAAACCCCUUGCUUCCUCCAGGGACUUCGAUUUCCAUAUACAAAAGCCAGUCAGAAAUCUGAAAGGUAGAAAUCUGUAAUUUGGGAAUAAGAAAGAAAUGGGGUUAUGGCAACUGGGAGACACAAAGCUCAUUAAGCCCCCUUUGACCAGUGUGCAGGGAGAAGGAGAAGUAACCAGUUUUGUUUAGUGUAACCAAAUUGUGGAGCAUCAUGUUGAGUAAAGAUCCUAGCAGAUCUCCAUUCCCCAUAAAGCUCAGGUCAUGCACUGAUGAAAUGUAGCUUUUCUUUCAGUUAUGAUGAUAGGUUUUUUUUCACCCUCUUGAUUCUUGACCAAGAGUUCUAUUCUCUUUCCACUAGAAAUUUGCUGCUCGUUAUAGAGGGAGCAGGGCUACGAAUCAGAAGAUUGGUCACUCCUGGUAGUUUAUCAUUUUCUACCUUGAUCGUUAUUAGAUUAGAUAUGGUGUUAAAAAUUUCAAAGGCAUGACCACCAAAAAGAGUAUAGCAGUCUCAAAGAGGUGUAAAGGAAUAAAAAGGUGCAAAUGAACAAAAGAAGUAUUAGCUCAAAUACCAGGAAAAAGCUGUUAUGAUACAGGCCCGUUCUCCUGAUGGAAACCAGCCGAGCUGAUGAGUUCAGAAGUGACACGGGUGAAAUAUCGUAGAAUAUACCACCUAAAUUUUUCUCAUUUGGGUAUGAGAUGAUCUAAUAGACUUUGGCCAUUUCCUUUAUCAUCUAAUUUCUGUGAUUCCACGAUCACUUUUAAAAAUGCCAUUCUCUUGCCUGUCUCAUUGCAAACCAGCAUCUUGUUAUUUUUUUUUUCUCCUUUCACCAAAAAAAGGGAGACAUUUGCAGAAAUACAACAUGGUGUUAUUUUGAUGAGUCAAAACAAAUUUUUCAAGGCCAUAUCUCACCAUUGUUCUGUGGUAAAAGUCCCGUAGUACUCUAUGGGAGACUUGCAUUAAAAUUGUAUUGCUAUGUACGCUCAGUAUCUACUCUUCAGAGGCCUCAGUGAUAUCCAUGCUCUACUCUCAGAGUUGCCUUUUUCCAGUCCUUUAAAGUUACACUUUGGCUUUACAGGAAAUAAUAAUCAUGCCUACCAUACUGUAACUAAAGUAUUCAGACACAUGAAUCUUUUUCUUGACUUCAUAUAAAAAUGUCAUUCGUAGCUUUAUUUUGUUCUACUCUGACUAUAAUAUAAACAAGAGUUUAUUAAAGCAUUAAUUUUAAGCUGUGAUUCUUGAGAAUGCAUGGUCUCACAAAAAUAGUAUUGAAACUGCAGGUCAAAACCAUGCAACAGAAAAGUGAAUAAUGAGUCUGUUUUCAUAUGGAUGUUUUUAAAAGUACAGCUUGUAGUUGAACUAGAUGUACUGUUUCUUCCACUGCAGCCAGGAAGCCCUCAUAGGUUUUUGACAGUGCCGCCAAAAAAUUAAUGCUUCAGCUGUUUAAAUGGUAUCAAAAGCUUGUUUGACAAUUGUAAUCUUUUCCAGGAAUUUCCUUUCCCAUUUCCCCCCCCUAUAAAAAUUGAUAACAAGAUGCCUGUAUAGUAGAAAUGGAAAGUCCAAGAUAUGUGACAAAGUAUUGUGUGCUGCUUCCAGCUUUGCUGGACAAGGCACAGAAUCUCCAGGGCUGGUAAGAAAAUGCAGGCGCUCAGUUGUUUAAGUAGCAUUUGUUCCCAUGUUUAGCUGCUUGCCAAGGCAGUGCAGAUAUUUUAGUGUUUUCUAAGCCAUUUUUGAGAUUUUAUGUAAUGUGGCAACAAACAGCAGAGCUGUUGGAAAUGGCUGGGUAGGAGCUCAGAGCAAUAACCGAGAAAAGACAAGAAUGAAGUAAGGAAGACAAGAAAUCAUCACCUGUGCCAACAUCAGUUGGUACGGCAGCUCUGAAGGUAAGGAGAUGAGCCUCAGCCUGGCUUCUCCCAAAUUCCUGUUCUCUGCUUUACAUGCAGCAAGGUGUGACAAAGCAAAGUGAGGCACAACUUGAACUUUUGUUCUGACGCAUAUCAGAAAGGCGCUGAAACACGGACUCAAAGGUCAGAACUGUUCCCUUUUCCCUAACGAAUUCCCAAGGCAGCUGUUGAUACUACUCAAUCUUUUAAAGCUAAUCUUUACCAGCUUUUGCUGACACUCAAUAUGAAAUAAAUAGUAUUGUCAUGACUGUUCUUCUCUAAUGAUGGAAGGGAGAUUCCACGCUAAGGAGAGCGAGGCAGAUGGAGAGGUUGCCAAUAAAAAGCCACAGUGUUUGCAGAGGGUGCUGGUGCAUUCAGCAGGCGCCAAUUAGAGAAAUGCUGCUUUAUGGCUAUGACGGGUUAUUGCUGCACAAACACUUGUACAAUUACACAGUGGGUCAGAAGGGCAGCUUACCUCGCCUCACAGCUAUUACUUUAAAGCAAACACAGCUAUCAGGCAUACAAAUAUCACCGAUUGCGGAAGGGGAACAGUGAAGUAAUAAGUGUUUGAAACUGCACACUGAGGAGAAAGAGUGAAUAUAACUAGCCCUGGUGCUGUGGGAAGUAAUUCUUAACUAUGUCUGCACUACAUGGAUUAGAAAAGUCAUCCUUGUAUACCGGAGAAGUGAAUGCUUCCUUCUAUCACUUAAAUCAAGUUAAUAGACCGUUGUGUUGUUCAGGUUCUUGGAAAUGGACUAUUUACUUGAGAAGCUGAGAGUGAGCUAGAAACAUUGAUGAAGCCUCUAUUCUGUGAGGUGGAGGAGAGUGUGGACAGCCGUAUUUGCUGGAGUGGUGAACCAAAUUGCCUUGACUGGAACCAUUAUUCACUUGCACCUUUGACUGCAGCAGACAGGUAGGAGAACAAGGAAAGGAUGGGUUCAAAUGAACUUGGGGAGCAGGCCUCAGUGAAUAUUUUUUUGUUCUCAGAGGGCUUCAACCAGAAGUCACUCACACUUAAAUAGUAACUGAUUACAUGUCCUUUUGUCACCUCUUGGUGAAACCAGAGGCAUCUCUCUUUCUGGAAAGGUUAUGUUUUUAUUAAUUCAGAAGUGCUGUCUUUGCUUUGACCAUAUAUUUGGUUUGCCACUUUCCCUUCUUUGUGCAGUUCUUGCUUCAAGAGUCCAAGGAGCACGCUUUUUGAAAGAAUAGGCAGAAAAAUGUACUUGUCUAAAAUAAAAGAAAAAAAUGGUGGAUGAGGUUUUGAUAUCUGAAAGAGGUAUUGUGGUUUCUUUUUUUUUUUUUUUAAUUAUUAUUUAAUUUUUAAAUGGCCUUGAAUUAUAAUCUGGUGAUCUGUUUGGAUCAUCUCACCAUUUCAAGUGCACCAUUGAUGAUACUGUGAUUAAGGUUUCUUUUUUUCCUCUGGGUCUUGAACACGUGGGUUCAUGCAAACUACAGUUGUGAAAAUGAUGACAGUGUAGUAUCACAAUACUCAAGUUAGCUUACAGUUAGCUGAUUCUCCGUAGCAGUUAUCUAUGACAUUAUAGACUACAGAGGCCAGUGUAUGCUGUCCGGAAAAGCUCUGUGUUCUGCUGCUCAUUGCAGCUCCAUGUUUGAGUUGGUAGUUACAGGUUGGACAGGUUUCACAUAAGCUUUGUCUCAGGGCCUGUACCAUAAAGGCAGAGUUACUUUGUUGCAAUACUGAGAAUCUCCUCUUCUUUAAUCUUCUGUGUACUGGCACAUCCUUGGUGUUCAGAGAGUUAUGUUAGCCUUCUGAAUUUAACAUGACUGACUUAAAAUAGUGAAAAGUUAGGAAAAUAUUUCAUCCUUCUCAUUGGCCCUCUCUGUUUUACAUUUUUUACCAUUUAUAUGUAACCCCGAGAGCUAGACAUGUACAGAAGACAUCAGAUGUUCUCAUGCUAUAUGAUGAUCUCAGGAGAAGGUGUUUAAAGAAAAUGCAUAGUGUAUUUUGACAUAAAACUCUAUUGUUUUUUCAGAACUGUAAAUGGCAUUGGACCUAUAUUUCAUUCUGUAUGAACUGAAGGAGGGAGUGGAGGGGGUUAAAUUGAAAUGGGCUUAAACCUUUUCUGAUACCUGGAACUGGUCCCAAAUAUUCCACAGUCCGCAGUGGUGCUAUAUGGGAUAUUUCUUCCUUUGGAUCCACAUCAAAGUUGUGUCAAUCUGCAUCGCUCUAUUUCCCCUCUGCAGUCUCUGAGAGCUGAGACAUCUUCCCAUGUAGCCUAGGAUCAGAGCUGGAUGAGAAGAGUGUUACCAGGGAACAUGCUGGCAAAAGCAAUUCAUUGUCCUCGCCUGUAGAAUUUACAGUGAAAGUUCAGCAGGGAAGCAAACUGUCCUGAUGCACCCCCGUGCUCUGCUCCCAGAUUGGGAAGCAUUAAUAGUGUGUGAAAUUUAUAAGAAGGAGUUUUGGAAUACUGCAGUAUGAAAAACUAGCCAUGUCCCAACUCACCAGGCAAGAUUUAAGUGUAAAACUGAGAACUUUGGUGCCCAUCCUCUAAAAUGGGCUUCGAGCAUUGAUUCUUCAGGUUUCAUUAGUGUGUAACGUAAUGGUACUUCUACGCAUUGGGCCCUUGUUGCUGUGGCUCUCCUGUAUGCUGAAAAUUCCCCUUAUAAUGUGUCAGCCUAGUAAUGGUCUUUACUUUUUCAUUUGGGACUGCUGAACUUCAGAAUAGAUGCUCUCAAUUAACAUAAGUCAGAUAAAUGUUAUUGUAACUGUGAUAGUACAUAUCACUACUGUGUGUGCUAAGGACAUUAAAGCCAGCACUUAAUACUGGAAGAGUAGUAAAUAUGCUGUAUGAGCUAAUGGACAGCUCACAUUAAGAAACUGAAGCCUAUAUUGCCUGCUUUAUGAGUGUGAACUUGCAGUUUGAUCCCACUGCUAGAUGCAAGGCGAUAGGAAGGCGCGUUUCCCCUGAAGACAGCAGCACGCAAUGCUGCCAAACCAGCAGUCCCGGGUGCCCUGCAGGGUAUGAUUCUUGCAGCAGAGAGCGAUUGCACAAGCUGUGAUGUGCAGGACUAGCUGCUCUAUUUUGGCUGAGAAUCCUUUGAGGAUAUUGGUCCCGAUUCCCUACUGUCUGAAACCUUUUGCUAUUUAUACCUGGGUAAAGUGAAUGCCUGGCGAGCAUAAAAUGCCACUACGCUAGUGCUAAAGGAGCUGUUAUCCACUUUGCCCAAAUAUAAAUGACUAUGCAAAAGGUGAAGCAAGUUCAAGGUCUCUCUUUUUGUUAUAGCAUUACCCCUAGAUCCUGCUGCUCGUGGCUGAAUGUGUGAACAGGAGGCUGUGCUUCAGUGGUGGUGGUUUCAGCUCAAGACGUGCAAAUGCAGCGAGAAAGAAGAACACUCAUUUCUUUUCCCACUAUUAGUCAGAGAGAAAAACACGUUUCUUCUUCCCUGAGAAGAGUACAGGGGCAACACAUUUAUUUGCCAGUUUUCUGACAGUCUGAGGUAGAAGAAAGAUACUUGAAAACAUCUGGCAGAGGCAGAAAUGGACACUAUGACUUGCAGUCUCCCUGCACUCGAUAGUGGGUAGUGUAUUAACAUGCCGCGCAUUGGAGAGACACAGUCCUUGAAAUCCUCUGACACUGCAAGCUACUGCUUUUAAACUAGAACAGAGACAGAUAAGGAUAUUGUGAAGGAGAAAUCCAGCAUUGCAUAUUGUAAAACUGAAUCCUUAAAAAAAAAUUUGGUACUUUUGGCAGUGUUUCAUUUAUUGUAAAUAGAAUCCAUAUAUAUUCAUAGAUAUUUUCAAUAGAAUGUAGUGUACUGCUGUUUCUGCUAUCUAAGCAAAUAUCUUGCUGGAGUAAUUUAAAAACAGAUCUGCUUCGUAGCCAGCACUGCACCAAUUUAAUAGUAAUACUGACCCGUGUUAGAGAUCCUGAGCCAGAUUUUGACAGCUGUAAACCUGCUGAAAACAAUGAAGACAUUCAUGAGGUUACCUAGCACAGGUAAGGACAUCGGAAUCUGGCUCUUUCUGAGUAGAGCUGCUUGUGAAUCGUGUUCUGCCAUGCACUCUGCUGUGGAAAGACCAUUUCAAAAAGCAAGGGAUGCAAAUCAUAGGGAAUAACAGGCAUCAUGAAGAAUAAUGCCUAGGUAAACCUCCAUUUAUGUGCCUAUCCAGUUUAUUUAAAUAAUCCACUUUUUGCUGCAGAUAGGAUGUCAUAAUGUUGUUAACAUUGAACCACACCUGGUGGGAUUGUUUUUACGUACCUUCUAGUACAUGUAUACACCUUUUCACGUGCACAUUUCCCUCUGUC